rnacentral:lncRNA from 1 species
UUCGAGUGGUGCGGCUCGUCUUCCUCGAUCUCCGUCCGUCGAAGCUUUUCGGCUAUCUGUCUCGCUCUCUCCCUCGGCUUCCAGAUGGCUGCCGCUGUCUCCACCGUGGGAGCCGUCAACAGAGUGCCGGUACUGCUGUCUUCCGCCCACCUUUCUCUUCGUCCUUGUCGAGAAUUCUCGGUUAUGUAGAUCUGUUUCUUGCUCCAGUUGAGCCUGCAUGGCUCUAGUUCGGGAGCCCCGGUGCCGAGCUCGGCUUUCUUCGGGAGCAGCCUGAAGAAAGUGAACUCCGGUCCGAGCCAUGGGAGGAACUCCACCGCCACUUUCAAGGUCUUGGCUGCUGAUCUCGAUGAGUCGAAGCAGACUUCCAAGGACAAAUGGUCAGGGCUUGCCUACGACGUCUCCGACGACCAGCAGGACAUCACCAGGGGAAAGGGCCUCGUCGACUCGCUCUUCCAAGCUCCCAUGGGCGACGGCACUCACAUCCCCGUCAUGACCUCCUACGAGUACAUCAGCCAGGGUCUUCGCCAGUAAGGAACCAUUCGAUAUCUUGAUCUAUCAUAGCUUUCAGCCUUCUUCCUCGUCGGUAUCCACUGAACCGUUUGGUCUCAGAUACAACCUCGACAACACCAAGGACGGCUUCUACAUAGCUCCGGCUUUCAUGGACAAGCUUGUCGUGCACAUCACCAAGAACUUCAUGGCCCUCCCGAACAUCAAGGUAAUCCCAUCCUACCUCAUCUCAUGCGGUCGCUGCCAUUGAUUUCUGGUUGAUGUGGAUUCUAACUGGGCGGUGACAGGUUCCCCUCAUCUUGGGUGUCUGGGGAGGCAAAGGCCAAGGGAAGUCAUUCCAAUGUGAGCUCGUGUUCGCCAAGAUGGGGAUCAAGUGAGUGCUUCCUUGAGUUCAUGACAUGUUGUUACGGCUCAGAGGUCUUUGGUGUCUCUCGUUCAUGCUCCGUGUCGAACACUUGGCAGCCCUAUCAUGAUGAGCGCCGGAGAACUGGAAAGCGGCAACGCAGGUGAGCCAGCGAAGCUGAUCAGGCAGCGGUACCGUGAGGCAGCAGACAUCAUCAAGAAGGGGAAGAUGUGUUGCCUCUUCAUCAACGACCUCGACGCAGGAGCGGGAAGGCUCGGCGGCACCACCCAAUACACCGUCAACAACCAGAUGGUGAACGCCACGCUGAUGAACAUCGCCGACAACCCGACCAACGUGCAGCUCCCGGGAAUGUACAACAAGCAGGAGAACCCUCGCGUUCCCAUCAUCGUCACCGGCAACGACUUCUCCACUCUCUACGCGCCUCUCAUUCGUGACGGCCGUAUGGAGAAGUUCUACUGGGCGCCGACCAGAGAUGACCGCAUCGGCGUCUGCACGGGCAUCUUCAGGACCGACAACGUCCCCACGGAGGACAUCGUCAAGCUCGUAGACUCCUUCCCGGGGCAGUCCAUCGGUAAGCUUCCCAAAAACACAAGAUUCACAUGAUCUGUCACCGACUCAUCCGAUCGCAUGUAUCUCCAUGGCCAACGUGCAGACUUCUUUGGUGCUCUUCGGGCCAGGGUCUACGAUGACGAAGUGAGGAAGUGGGUGGGAGACAUUGGAGUGGACAAGGUUGGAAAGAAGCUGGUCAACUCGCUCGAAGGGCCACCAACCUUUGAGCAGCCCAAGAUGAGCUUGGAUACGCUGAUGGAGUAUGGCAACAUGCUGGUGAAGGAACAGGAGAACGUGAAGAGGGUGCAGCUGGCCGACAAGUACCUGAGCGAGGCUGCGCUCGGAGACGCCAACGCAGAUGCCAUGAAGACUGGCUCUUUCUACCAGUAACUCCAUGAUGGUUGCAGGCAAAGCAGCCCAUCCGUCUCUUACGAUCCUCGAUGAACGCAGAGCUGCAUGCAUAAAUUCCAGGCUUGUAGUUUGUGUGGAUAAGUGGGCGAAUAUUAUUAUCAGCCUCUGUAUCGGUGAUACAUAUAUUAUGUGCAUUUUCCUCAGUUUUGGAAGGCCUAUUUGUUUGUGAUCUCCCAAGUCAAUUUUACUUCGAAGCACAAAUCUCAAAGAAAGACACAUCGGAGAAGCACACAUCUCAAAGAAGCAUCCGAAUUUGUACUGGGCCUUAAUGACAAUAACGUCGGCCCAUGACCCGGCUCGGGAUCUGACCCGGCGGUUCAGCACCCCAUUCGGAAAUUUAGGUCCAGGCCGGUCGAUGAUCGCGUCGGCUAUAACGAUCGCGUCGGUCGCCGAAGAUGGAUGCCUUCGCGAGACUCAGGUUCGGUUUCUCUCCGCUCUGGCUCAUCUUUCUCCCUUCUCGUGCUUGCCGUGUUCAUGUUUCUAGGGUUUGCUUCGCCCGAUCGUGCGCUAGGGUUUCGUGGUGUCUUUGUGGGGAGUCUGUCGGUCAAUUUCUCGUCGUUGUGACGGAUCAAACGAAUGGAAUGAUUAGGUUUAGCAACCUUUUGGCUUCGGAUCGUGUUGUGUCUGCUAAAUGUAAUAUGCUUAUUCACUCUAUCGAGUAAUUGAUGAUGGUAGUGUUAGAUCGUUGAAACCUUCACCUGUAAAUGUACACGGAUAUUAGGAUAUUGAUUAGGGUAUGUUGUUUAUAGUUGAAUCUUUAUUAGAGUUUAUAUGGAAUUUCAAUAGAAUUCAGAGAUUCUUUGAAUUCUUCAAAGAGGAUUGUUCUGGUUUGGCAAACUGCAGCCUUCUAUAGAAGCUUCAGCUGAAAUUUAUCAGUGAUUUUAUCAACUACGAUAAAAGCCUAUCUUCUUAAGUAUUGAAUUAGCUGUAUUGGAAACCAUGUUGUGAGUGCUAAAAACUUUGAGUUGCUCAUAUGGUUUAAUCAUGUUAAAGUGUCCCCAUUCAUGUACUCAUGCUGGAUGCUGAAUAAGUUACAGAACUAAGCGAAUAUGCUCAAGAAAAACACUAGAGGUACUCUUCUUUGUUCAACAAAGAUUGUUCUAUACAUCAGCUUUGAUGUCAAUGGGUUGGACCAUUUGCCAGUCUUGUAUGUAGUUAUUUCUUCUGUCGCAUCGUAUGCUUAACUGAUUUAAACGGAGAGAAUUUAACUAAUACCUUUUUAUGAUAUUCUUGUAUCACCACCUUGAUGGGCAAUGCUCUCAUUUUUUAUUCCUGGAGCUUAAACGGUCUGAUGUCCUAGACCAAGUUUGGCUUGAAUGCCAAACCUAUAACAGGAUUUGAUGAAUAUUUGGUGCCUAGAACCUAUAGUUUUAACCGUCAGACAAUCUUCUAAACAAAUGACUGUUCACCUAUUUGGCAAUUGACUCGACACUAUGCAAGUGAUUACUUCAGGUGGAGUGGUGUCGCAUAUCUCAAUGAAAAAUACUUAGAAAGUUAGAAAUAUGGUUAUUCUAUAGAUUUCAAGCUGUUGUUGUCUUCAGCUAAGCCGUGUAAACCCAUCAUCUUGACGCUUGUCAGACAUCGAAGCUUCUGAAGAUGCAUACAAUCAAUUCUAUCAUUUUAAAGAUGCAUAGGCAUAUUAUAAAAUGAGGCGAGGCAAACUCAUGACUCGUCUAAACUCUAUGCUGAGAACUAUGAAGUGAGAAAGAGAAUUACUGUACUAAGAAAGCUUGCAAAGGAUGAUCUUGUAAGCAAUAGCUCUUAGGCUCAAUCUUGCUAAAUGAACAAAUGUGCUACCACAGUUGGCGUGGUCUUACCCUCAUGAAAAUUUAAGACAUUUGUAUAUGAUGAUACCCUGCUACGGAUGCUUCGUGCUCAUUGAUAUACUGCAUAUCUACCUCCUCAGCUUGUGUAUGCUCGAAGUGCCCUUCCAUCUGUUUCGAUGCAUUUCGAUGAAAACUUCCACCACUUUGGAGUCUAAACAGUCACUUAAUAUGUUGUGAAUGUACGCACUUGUGCAAUUUUCCUACCUGAGCGAGGAUCAGCAAGUGGUAAGGGCUCUUCCUUUGCCAUUAAAGAAGAAACUGGUUCCUUCCUGUUUGAUGCAAUGCCAACAUCAGCAAAGCUAUGCCUAACAUUCCUUGGGGUUACUGCAUCGGUGAUGACAUCACGGAGUGCUUUGUCUUCCUCCCUGGGCUCCAGCUUUUGCAUCAGAUACUCUUUCAUUGAGACUCCCUUAUCCCAUACUUGCUUUGCAGUAGUCUCAUACCUUGGCCCUGAUUCUUGGAUCUUGGAGCUUAGUGCUUGGGUUGCCUUUGAAAUCAUGGUGUAGACCGGAGCAAGCGUCUCCGUUACCGUCUCGCUCAGGGUCUUGUCAUUGUCACCACCAUUGCUGACCGGUGGUUGAGGUAAGUACUUAUCCUUCACCAUUGUCUUGUCAUUGGUUGGAGUUAUCACCGUUGUUUCUGGUGGUGCAGGUAUAACCUUUACGUCACCACCAUGGUCCGAUGCUGGUUGCCUAUGCCCAUCAUUAGCUUGCUUCAUCUCUAUUUCUCUAUCAAAAGCGCUGAGCUGAGUGAUUGUUGAAUUUUCGCUGGGACUGGGGUAGUGAGUUGUUGACUGAUCAUCCGAAGCCGAAUCUUCAUAACUAUCAAGUGCCAUCUCUGGUUCGUACUCUGACGUCACAGGUAAGAAACAUCUGAUAUGCUUAGAUUAAGCCAUUAUGGUGAAUGAGCCAAACACUAAGUUCUCUUAGAUUUUGGUUUAAAUGGUGCAGGGUGUGGCUAAUUACUUGGGGCUCCAUGGUAAUUAGGAUCUUCCUCGUCUGCCUCGUCCAAGCUAACUCCCCAGGGCGGUGUGACACUAUUUUCUUUGCCUCCAUGUCUUUUCUUCACAAGCAUCUGCUUCCAUUUCUUUGCCUUCUCCUUCACCCUCACCAUGAUCGACUUCUUUGCCUGCUGUUGGUGGUGACUGAAAUCAUCCUCAUCGUUGUACAAGUUUACCAGUGUUGGUGUUGUCGGCGCCAACCAAUGUCCAUUUGGAGAUGAUUCACCUUCACAUACAUUGAAUUGCAAUGAUGUAGCAAAAUAAGAAGCAAACGUAGAGAUGAGCGGGGAACUAUCAUGUCAAGAUUUGAACCUUUCCGGGAGCGUAGAUUCUUGUUUGGAAUAAGCUGUUCUCGUUGAGGGUAGACCGGAUAUGAUCUGCUUCGUUCUGUUUGAGCCAUCUGCUGUCCUUCCUCUCUUUCUUCACCCUAUUGCUUCUGUUUCCUGGCUUCUCAGGAACAUGGAAAGGUCUCAGGAACUGGCUAAGGAAGCAUCAAGGGGAUUGCUCUGCAUUUAACCAGGGUGUGGUUGCAGAAGAUCACCAAGUUUGUAGCAGAUUUGAUGGUCGGGACGAGGUGCAACUUCUUGACCACCCUUUGCUGAGGCGCCUGUAAGAGUGCCAUAUGUGUGGGCCAUUGGAGACCUCGCAUGAGCUCAGCACCGUAUCAAAUUCGAAUAGGAGUUUGCCAUACGUGUAAGCUCGUAUAAAUCGUGUAUGUGUUGAAUAGGAGUUUUUCCCUUUUCUUGUGGGAGAUCUUUGAUUGAAGUUGUGCAUUUUAUUGGUCUUCUAAGGCACGACAUGUUGAUGGACUAUUUACGAGAGAUGAAAAAAAAAAUUAUACCUCCUCAAAAGAGGGGAAAAUUCUAUUAUCGAGAAAGAAAAAGACAUUGAAAAUUGUAUUGUUAUUUAUUAUCAUUGCAUGAUGGAACAUAUUAAGAAAGUAUGAAAAAAGAAAUUCUCAUCGUAUCUCUUUUAAAUAUUGGUUCAUUUGCCAAAGUUAGAUCCUCAAGGAAUCAUCCAUUGAAUUUACCGAUUGGGUUUAGGAUUCAGGUAGAGUAGAAUAGCGGUAUGGUAGUCCGUUGAACUCCAUAAUUAGGGAGUAAGGUGCUUCCUCAAUCAAUGAUUCGAAAGGCCUUGGAAGCCCUUGAGAUGUUGGUAUUGCAUCAAGUGGGAGGACCCCAAUGGGUGCUGGUGCCUAUGGCGAUUGAGCUACUGAUCGCAGCUGAGAUGGUGGCAUCACCUAUUAUGAUAGUUGGGGCAAGAGUGGAGCAACACCUUGCAUUAUGUCCAUUAGCGUUUGCACAUGUUGGGUAAGGUUCAGAAACGCUUUGAUAGGGAUGAGCAAGUAGCUCAAGGUCAUCAUGAGAACGAGAGACCCAGGUAGUUGAACAAACGCUAAUAUCGCAUCGACAUUUGUACCAAUGUGGAUUCAUCCACGUGCGAAAAGAGUGGUUGCUAUCCUUUGAGUGAAAAUAUUGUGAGUCGAAGGCAUGGCCUUCUCGAUAUUCGUUUAUUGAAAGAGUCGAUAGGUAAAUGCUCCUGUAACAUCAGACUUUUCUUCUAGUAUCAAAAUAAUAAAAAAAUAUAUUAUUGACGUCUUAAUCAACUCGACAUGGUUCGGACUCACAUGCAGGGUUGUUCGAAGUGCCUCCACGAUGAAAAUAUCGAGUUUGCAAAGUGCCACCUGAAUGAAGAUCGAAGUCUAUGGAGGUUUCUCAACUCGAUCCCUUCGACGCCCAAAUUAAUAAUAUGAAGUAUGUGAAUACAAAUGUAGGUGAUAAAAAAAAAAGUCCUUGCUUAUUGUGUUAAAGAUGUCAUUUUAUACAUGAUUGUAAUAAGGUAAAAUAUUUUGUAAAGUAUUUCGCACGAGGGCAAAGAAUACUCUUUUAGAAUAUUCUUCGAACUUUUAUCCACGAGCAAACGAAUGGAAGAUGACCAGGACUCCAUGUGAUGAUUAGUUAAUAGAUUAUUUCAUAAGAUAUGAUAAUUAUAAAUACAACUCAAAAAGUUAAGCCUUAAUCUAAUAAACUUAUUUGAUGCUAAUUGCAUAAAUUAUAUUGCACGAGAAUGCAUAUAACCCUAUGCUUUCCUAAGGUUAAAUUUAAAACCAAAAAAUGCUAACUCAAAAAGAACAUGUCAAGAAUGGGAUUCGAACCCAUGCCCUUUCGGACCAGUACCUGAAACUGGCGCCUUAGACCAACUCGGCCAUCUUGACCCGGAUGAAAAUGAAGCAUCUCAAAUUAUAAUAUUGUAUAAAUAUUUCUGUCAUUAACGCCACAUUUCAGCGGACCGAGAAACAGGAAGCUAAGUCUGCCUAAUGAUGAGAGAAUGUAAUGCUCUUUUACUAUGCGGUGGACCAACCCAUGCUCGACCAAUCCUAAUUUGACAUUGCUAGCUGAGAGAUUAACGCAUUCAUCUUCACCUUUCAUUCUUCCCACCUCAAAUAAACGAUCCCAAUCAUAACAGAAAGCACGGUGUCUCAUGUAAUGCGAAGGCUCUUAACAGCAGAGGCCGCCGCAUGGAAGUAAUUACGAUGCAAAUCCUGGAUUUGACGUGAUCGAGGAGGAAAGCCAUGGGUUUUGUGGAACCUUACUACUAAUUAAUGUGGAGGUGAGGAGUGUUGCCAAAGGAUUUUUUUUUUUUUUUUUGGGCCCCUCAGCAUUAUUACAAUUUCGAAAGUUACAGAUCUAUGAGGUUAGGAGGAAUAAUAAGAGUCAUUGGUUUAGCAUUUUUUUGUUUUUUAACGACCUAUCUAGGCAAUACUUAACUGAACGUAAACCCACAUCCAACUCAAUGUGUAGUGUAAUAAAAUUUAAAAUAAAAUAUAUUCCAAUGUUAUAUAUAUAUAUAAUUAAAGAAAAAAGUUCACAUGUUAUGCUAUUAAAAGAACAAAAAAGCAUCUUUGAUAAAUAAUAUUUAAAAAAAUCAUACUUAGAGGGUCUAUAUAGUGGAUCAAGAAGAUCUAAUUUUUUAUAACUAUGAUUUUGAAAUUAAUGAAAAGCUCCAAGUCAGAAAAACAUACAUCAAAAUUAACAUGAAAAAUCUAAGCUUGUUAAUCAAAUCGACUGUAUCUCAUCCUACUCUUUUAAACUUUGUAUACGUGAGACUAUUCCCUUAAAUCUUUUUCAAUUUCUGUCUCUCAUACAAAUGAAUAUUUGCGUUAACUAUCUUUUAUUUAUAAGGUUAAGGUAAACUAUAGAUCUAUUUUUCUUCUUCACUCACUCGAGUACGAUCAACAUUUCACUAGUUCAUAUUCUUUAACCUUGGUUCAGAUAGCAUGUUGAAAUUAAUCGUGAGUUAACAUCAAAGUAGUUCAAGUUUUUCUCUUAAUAUUUUUAAGCUCUAGAUUUCUAACAUUCUUUUGUUUCUUUUUCAUGAACAAACGUACGAUAAAACCUUUCACGAACAACACCCAUUAUUACUCAGCUUGAUUAGGUUCCUCUCUCUCCCUUCUUUAGUACUCUUUCUUAACAAGAGUUGAAAAGCUCAGUUCUCGUCUCCUAUCAAUCUUAACCGAUCUAAGAUUCCUCCGCUUAGACACUGUUGGCAGGAAGAUGGAUUAUAUUGGCAUCUAACAACUGUGGACAUGGUGGUUUCUCCAUAUUUGUUCUACUUUGUGGCUCUAUAUUUCCAUGACCUGCAUUAUCUAAUCUUGACAGCAAUGUUUCUCUGGAUGUGUAGCAAAUACCAUGUGAGAUUGGAACGAGCAUCAACGGUUGCACAUCACUGUAUUUUAUUCACACAAGAAGAGAAGUAUGGGGAAGAGAGCGGAAUAACUCCAUGGAGGCCUCUCUUCAUAGCCCAACUGCGUAUAACUCCAUCUAUGGCUUCCCGCAACGUAACUCGUUGAGUGCAUGCAACAAACAAGUGAUAUGCAAUGCCGUCACAACACCCGCUCUCUUCCAUCAGCAAACUCUAUCGAUCCAUUCGAUGAUAUCAAGAAGAAAGAAGCAAGAGUCAAUAACAGCGAAGCAUAUGGAUCCUAAAUGACUCUGCUGAGCAGCCGUGAGCUCACUGCUCAUUGCAAAGUGCAGUGAAGCUGUGAGCUCACAGAUCCUUACGUAAAACGUAUACACAAAAGAGAAGAAACCUACUACUAUUUAACUGUGUACUUCUUCUGUCAGUGGUAGUCUCGCCAGCAAACGAGCAUCGUGACACAGCGGCGCAUGAUGUAUAACCUCGCCCUCUGCUCCUUCACUUGGUUGGCACACCGGCUGGAGAAGGACCGCGACGUCUUUAUCGUCGUCGUCCUCCGCCGGCCUUCCCUUGUGCUCGCCGACCGUUUCAAGAACGGCCCUCCUUCCUCCUCCGCAGCCGCCACCACUCUUCUGCCCCCGCUGCAGCUGUUCCUAAUCUCCUUAUUCGCCACCUUCCACUUCUCGUCCAUGUAGAUCUCGACUUCCUCUCCCACCACGUCUACUAUUUCCGAUGGGGCAACUAAGGGUAUAUAUAAAGGGAAGGAGGAAAUUGGUGUGGAUUCGUGGUGGGCAAUGGGCAUCACCACCUGGGGUAUCACAUUUUUAUUCACCAAAGAAAAAUCUAAAUAUAUCACCUCAAUACUCUAAUACAAACUGUGCUUUUGACAUCAGCACAGAGAAAAAACAAAGAUUUCACUCACUCGCCUCCUAAAAUUCAGAAAAUCUAAUUGACCUUUAGUGCAUACAAAAAUGUGAUAACUUGGAUUCAGAGAAAAGGAAUAAACUAUCAUGUUUAAGAUCUUGCAGCAUCCACUUCUAACUAGGACCUUAAUUUGGAAGCACAAUGCUAGUAGCCUAUGAACUGUCCGGCUACAGCUUUCAAGAUGCGUACAUUUUGUUAAUAAUAUAUAUUCUAUGUAAAUAGAGCUUUUAUAUAUAUAUAUAUGAAUCAUCAUGCACAGAGGUUUACUGCGAUGUGUUCAAGGAUAAAGAUUCCUCCCAAGGUUGACCGGUCAAUGUUGGGAACCUUCUCACGCAAAUGCAUGAACAUAAACAGGAGAGAUGAGAUUCCAAAGUUAAUGCAGCCAUGUGAGAUUUAGGCUGGUCUGAAUCAUGCACUCUGUCAGUGCCUGUAUGGAAUCUUUGAUUGCUUCCAUAUGCUUAGAAGUUACGAGUUCCCUGAACCAUUAUUGAGGCACAAGGUUUGAACCUCAGAAUCUAGCUAUCAUGCAUGUACUUUGGGAAGGUAAUAUAACGGCAAACUAGGUUAUAGAUCAUACAAAACUUAACAAAUGUGAUUGUACCUGAUAAAGGGUGGCCUUCUCUACCUUAAUUUUUUGGUAUAUUUGCGUAUUAAAUUUGAAUUCUUAUGGACAUAUUUCUCUAUGGAAGAAAGCUCUUUUCCGACUUUAAGCAUAUAAAGAAAUAUUUGGUUUCUACAUUGUUGAACCAAAUUUCAUCACUUAAAUAGUCACAUUUUUCAAACUUGGAAUAUCUUAGAAUGCUAUUGUUUGUUUUUUUUGGUCUUUUUCAUUUAGAACUCCUUUGAGAUUCACUAAAGCUACAAUAGCUAAGUAUCUUUUAAAAAAUUGAAAUGAUAAUAAGAAUUAUUUUUCCAUCUCGCCCUUUCAUUGUCAGCUUGUCAUAAGGUUUGAACCCCUCUAAAAGUGUUAUCAUGAAGCAUUUGUUGGCUCCUCUGUGAGUUGCAAGAAGCAUGAAGCAUGUUAAAUGCAUGCCCUAAUACAACUAGGCAUAGUCAGGACAUGAACUCUUUGAGCCACAACAUGUAUAAGCGAAGGGCUUCAUAUUUUAUGACUGCUUUGCAUGUGGCGGCCACGAUGCACAACCUCAAAGCCAGUCAAAUCUAAUCAAUUAUAUCAAUUACUUUGGUCCUUAGAUCAAGUUGUAGUUCUUAAACAAUGCAAACACAUCGCCCUCGGGGAAGUUGCUUGCUCUUCAAACAAAAAUCAUUUUCUAUCUUCCAUUUUUCUUACUCUAGAUUUUGACCUGCCAGAACCAUUGCAACACUUGUCUUGGGCCGAUAGGGUUGAUGGCCAUGUGGGCUUGGCUUAUGCAAUGGGCUUACAGACUCCAGGUUGACACAAAGAGCCUCUUUUUUACCUUACAAACCUGAACAAGUCUUAUACAGGCAAAAAACCAAAUAAGUAAUAUGCAACUAAAAGCUUUUUGUUGUAUAGGUAAUCAUAAUGGACAUGCAAUUUUCAGAACUUUGGGGUAUAAUUGGGGGGAUAGACUUACGACAAUUAGGCUCGUUUUAAUAAAGCAGUAAUUUUUUUUAGAUUACCCAUCGGAAAUGUGAGACUAGCAAACAUGAUUUGGUUAAAAUUGGGUUGAUUCAAAUAGUAAAUGAUCAUCAAACGAAGUGCGGGUCUUUACCUUUCGUGAAUUCUAAGGGGAAUUAGAAACGAGAGCAGCAGAUCGAAUAAAAGAAUAUGCACACAACGAAUUCUCAACUGAAGGCGACGAAACGACAAACCCUAAAAUCCAAAAGGAGGAGAAGGAACUGACCUCGAUUCGCUAGGGCUUCCUCCACGAAGGAGCGGAUCGAGUGGAGGGAGUGGCGCGGCCGGCCUUCUCCGGCUGGAUCUGGAUUUCACGGUGCAGCUCCGCCAUCCGGCCGUCCAUGGCUUCCUACGGUCCUCGCGCAGCAUUGCUUCGCCAACGAAAGACCACUUUGGAGAGUGUUUGCCGCUUUAAAUUCGAGCCACGCCUCCCGGGAAACCCAAACAUUUAAUGGAGCAGGUCGCAAACGGAUCUUAUUAGUGUGAUCCGCAUCCGAGUUCCCCAUUCCCAUUGGAGUGCUCUACUAUUGCAAUUCUUAGAUAUUAAAUGUGAUGUGGGAUUAUUAGUCAUUGAUAUUUUUAUAAUAUAAUAAUAAUAAAGAAAAUAAUAAUAAUAAUAAUAUGAUAAUAAAAACUUUAAUAUCUAAAAUAAAAAAUGACAUUUAAAAUAACACUUUAAUUUCAUUUAAAUAUAUCAUUUAAAUGAAAUUAAACUUACUAUUAUAGAAUCAAUAAGAAAUAUAUCAUUUAAAAUAAAAAAAACUUAAUUCAUUGAUUCUUUUUUAUUAUCUUAUUACAAUCCUUUGAUCUUUUUUAUAUAUUUUAAAUACAGAAGAAAAAAUAAUAAAAAUACUAUCAUAUCAGAGCUAAGCAAAUAAAUUAUUUUAACCUUCAUCUUGUUAAGUAAUUUUUUUAUAUAUUUAUUUUUACCAUAAUCAAUUUAAAAAAUAAAAUGAGGAAUAAUCCUGAUGUUGGCAUAUGACAACUUACAAAUUUUGUAGAAUUUUCUAAAAUAAUAAGAAACAUAUGAAACUGUCGGAUAUAUCUCAACUUCACUCAUCUUUCAUUACUACAUGACAUAUCUGUAGAAACCUAAACAUCCAUGUGUUCUACCAGAUAUUAAACAUAUAUAUGAAACCAUGGACCAUGAAAGAUAUCAUUUGGAAGCUUCUAAGGAAAUAUUUAGUCCCUUGUACCUCAACACUAAUCUUGCAAACAGUCUCAGCAUAUCAGAUUUACAUCUAGCACAGCACAAUGAUGUAAGAAUGGAAAGGAAUUUCUUGUUUCCAUACACAAUCAUAAACAUCUCAUAGGUUACUUUCCGUAGAUUAUGAUAAUUAGAAGUUGAAACCAACAGGAAAGCCUCUGAAAUAGUUACAUGCACAAUGUUGAAUCAUACAAAGAAUAGAUUUGUCCAGUGUCACGUGAUUUACAAAACAAGAACAUCAGAGAUUAAAACGUUUUACGAUCUGCAUCGCUUUCAAUGAUUAGCUUAGGUCUGUUGAACCAGGUAUACUCGACCAUAAACCCAGCGCUUACCAGGUACCGUGAAGGAUUGCUGCAUUAUAAAAAAACCAAAAUUACAAAGAAUCAACAAUUGAAAAUGAUAAUUUUAAUCGUCAUGGAUCGCAACUAAUGAAAGUCUAGAAAAUGGAUUUGGAUGGUAUCUAAUGCUCUUCCGACAUCGCAGUAUCUGUUGAUGAUCAGAUUAUCGCAUGACCAUCAUUCUUAAAAAAGAAAUGUAUCAUCGAGGAAACAUAAAACAAACUGUGUUGUAAAUAUAUAUUAUUGAUCUCCAAGCAAAAUGUUCAGUUCCAAUAACUCCCUAAUUACACAUGCCAGAGCGUAAACUUUCAAAAAACAUUACCAUUACAAAACUUAGUAGUAAAUCUUCAGCUAAUCAGAAGCUUGAUAUUCUGUAUCAAAAUCUAAAAUUAGAUGACCAGAUAAUCUUAUAUGAAAUGUUGCAAUAACAUGAAUUUGAGAAUCAGAUUCAGAUGUGUAUUUGGAUGUCUGGUUCAGCAAGGAGGGACAAAAGACAUGGAGACAUACGAAUAAAGUUUAUGAUAUACAAUAACCAGUGAUUUAAAAAGCGCUAGGCGUCAAGGUCCACAAACGCCCGAGGCGCUAGGCGCUCGCCCAGGCGCUCGCCCGAGCGAAGCGAGGCGCUAAAUUAUAAAAAUAUAUAAUAUAAUUAUUUAAAAUUAUCUAAAUUAUAAAAAUAUAUAAUAUAAUUAUAACAAUAAUUUCAAAUAAAUAAAAAUUAACAACAUUAAAAUCAAAAUAAUAUAUUAUUAAUCUAUUAACAGAAAAUUAAUCAUUUAAAAAUUCAAAUAAACUUAAUAUUAAGAGUAUACUGAGCCUGAUGGAGAAACGAGGAAGCAGCGGCGAGCGGCGGCGAGCAGCGGCAGCAGCAGCAGCAGCAGCGACGGCGAGUGGCGGCAGCGGCAGCGGGAAAGGGAGCGGAAGGCGCGAGCAGCGGGAGGCCUCGAGGGAGGCGCGAGCAGCGGGAAGGCUCGCGGGAGGCGCGAGCAGCGGGAAGGNNNNNNNNNNNNNNNNNNNNNNNNNNNNNNNNNNNNNNNNNNNNNNNNNNNNNNNNNNNNNNNNNNNNNNNNNNNNNNNNNNNNNNNNNNNNNNNNNNNNNNNNNNNNNNNNNNNNNNNNNNNNNNNNNNNNNNNNNNNNNNNNNNNNNNNNNNNNNNNNNNNNNNNNNNNNNNNNNNNNNNNNNNNNNNNNNNNNNNNNNNNNNNNNNNNNNNNNNNNNNNNNNNNNNNNNNNNNNNNNNNNNNNNNNNNNNNNNNNNNNNNNNNNNNNNNNNNNNNNNNNNNNNNNNNNNNNNNNNNCGCCCGAGCGCCUUUUGCAAUCACUGACAAUAACUAUAUUUUAAUUUUAUAUGAUUGUGAAAUCUCAAGAAAAAAAAAUGCCUUCAAAACAAGGGAGAUUAAUUUCCGAUUUCAUUAUGGUAUAUCAUACUGAUCAUUAUGAUUGUUUAACUCUCAAGUUGACAUUCAGUUUCUACAUUCAAAAACAUGGACAGGAAUAAGUAAACCCACAAAAGGAUAUGCAUCUCACACAUUUCGGGAGGGUUAAUGCAUGAUUACAUAACACCUCACAUGAUGAUUCAUAUGAUGGCAACAAGAAAUUAAUACAGUAACAAUGAGAAUAGAGAGUGCCAACAAGUGCAUUUUCAGUUUAGAAGCACCCAUUCAUAUGAUACAAAGGGAAACUACAUACCUCCACCUUUGUUUGAAACUCCAAGGAGCACUCGCAUACAUGACAAGCUGCACGGUGAGGAUGUCCGGUCGAGUUUUCUGCCCUAACAAAAGUAAAGACCUGCAGAGCAAUAAGAUGGAUUAUAGCAUUACAUAGUUUUUCAAGCUAGCAGAGAUUAUGUAUUCAUAGACUAAGCAAAUGAUUUAAUAGACCCCGACCUCCUCCCCACAGUUGGGGCAUGAGCCUUUCAUUGCAACCAGUUCAUUCCUCCAAAGACCUUGCAAUGCUUGGACUAAAAUAAAGAACCAGAUUUAACUAGUAGCCUCCCAAACAUUAAACAAAGAAAGCUGGGAAUUUAAUAAACUUAAAUCAUCUAGAAAGUACAAAGACAAUGAUGACUGACCUACUAAUAUGCAUGACACAUAAGAAAGCAUUCGAGCAAUGAACACUCUAAUGCUGAUGGAUUUUGAUUCAUCAUUACAUGCUUUCCAAACAAGCUAAUAAAGCCACAAAGAACAAUUUGGUUUUUGACAAACACUGGCUAGUGUGUUCAUUCUGUCGAGAUACAGUAGGUUAACAAAUGAAUCCUAAAUUUACAUAACCUCGUCCAUCCGAUUUCAAUUUCAUUUUUCUCACUUAAUCAACAAAUACUAGACAAUUUCUUUAACACCUAUAAAUAUAAGCAUUAUAUAAUUAUAAACACAAUAUUAUAGAUAAGAGAAAUGUUAUUGGAGGACAGGUUACAUAAUCAAAAGUUUAUAACACAAUCAAACAAAAAGGUUUUAACAGGUAUGCUACACAACUUUGCACUCUGCAUUACGAUCUAUGCUUGAACUUUGACCGUGAAACAUGCAUCAACUUAAUACUACCUAAUAUAUGUAACUUUGGAUUUUUUUUUUUUUCAGGUUGAGGUGCACCAUGUUGUCUGCAAUAUGCUGUUUUACGUAUUGCAUUUUUCACCAUAAGUAGGAUUGUCUCCCAUCCCUAUCAGCACCCAUCUCCACCCUCUAGCAUGUACAACAAUGUUCGUAUUUGGAAAUUUCUGUAAAAUUAACUUAUGAUGAUUGCAGAAACUUUUUUGCAACAUCGCAUAAUUUUAAUCUAUACAUCGCAUAAUUUUAAACUUUUUUGCAACUUACUUGAAGCAAAUGCAAGAGGAUAACCAACCAGAUGUCCCAGUCCCAAUAUUAGAGUUUUGUUAACCAUCAUAAGCGAUCCAAAUGUCGAUAUUUCACUGUAUAAGUAAUAUCUUGAGUUAAUCGCAUCAGCAAAAGCCAGAGUGAUGAUACAAAUGACAGGCACGAGAAUUGCUGAUGAUCCAAAUGCGAGUAGCACCAACCAAACACUUGCUAAAGCAAAAGCUUGUGAAGGAUCUUCCUGCCCUAAACACAAGUCAAAUCAAAACCUCAACCAAGUAAAAGGAAGUUUCCAUGAACCAGAAAAUAGAGAGGGAAAAGGACACAGGCUAACAAGAAUUUACCUCAGCAUCUGCAUAGGUUGAUUGUCGCCUGAGGCUACAUCGAGGAUACUUAACAACAGAUUUUGAACCAUACAGCCGCAACUUCAACUGUUAUAGAAAAUACAAACGUUAAGCAAAAGAUAGUGAAAAUGGACAUGAAGGAAAGACAGCCACUUGAUUAUACCUCAAUUUUAUCAAACAUCGCAUCAACAAUCAAAGGUUUACCAUUGUAAUAUGAAUCUCGUGCCUACAACAUAAAAGCAAGAUGAACAAGUAGAUGAAUUUACACAUCCAAACUUCCUAAUUCUGAGGAGAACUUCCAAAGAUCAUAAAUAAUGGACAUAACCAUAAAUAACGCUUUGCCCAAUGUUUCAUUUCUUUCGAUCAAAAUAAAAACAGAGCUCCAGAUUAUGACUUAAAGUGACUGCAACAAGAAAAAGUAGUUCAAUUCAUCUCAUAGGCAAAUUAAUUGAAUUUCAUGCUUCCUGGUACAAAAGAAAAGCCAAAGAAAAUCAUAAAACUAAAGUUCAUCUACUUGCAGAAACCUAUCAAUUAAUGAACUCCAACUAAAAAUGGAUGACAAAAAUAAUUAGCAAAAGAAUGAUGAUAUGACCAAACUUACUUAAAUGUAUUAUGAGGCAGAAAAUUAUCGAACCAUUUUGGAGGAUGAAGGUAAUUAGAAGCUUUAUGUGGUUUAUUCCAAAAACAAUGAAGCUCAUGUUGCAAAUUACUGAUCUCCCUGAUCUGUAGAGCUGAAUCUGAAUCCUAUAUAGACUUCAAGAUUUAUAGUACUGCAUGUUAGUAAAUUUUGCAAACACAUUUAAAGAAAAGGGAGUUCCAAAUAUGCACAUCAGUUCUUGUUCUUCUUUAUUUAACAUCUAGCACGUUUGAAGAUUGCAGAAUCUCUUCAUUGUUAUCCUCGAAUAGUCCAGUGUGUUAUUUGCCUCUUGCAGGAUGGACAUCACAACAAGAAUGCUUUUACCUGCUGAUAGAGGGCCUCCAGCAUCUCCUUACUGGCGGUCUCGAUAGGGCCGACGUAGAGGCAGGAGGGGGCAUCCGCCGCGACCGCGAGUACCGGGGAGAACGACCUUCGGCCGCCGCCGCGCGGCCGCGGCCGGAGCCGGUCGUGCGCGGAAAGGGGGCGGGCGCGGAGGACGUGGAAGGCGGGGACGGCUGCCGCUGCGGAGGAGGAGGACGAGGAGGAGGACAGGGGCAUGAGGCCCGCUGGCGCCUCCGCGCGUGGAGGCAGCGGGCAGCGCGGUGUAAUCGCGGCCGCAGACGCUGCGUUGUGGCCACCAUUUAAGAAGCCACGUCUCUCGACGCACCACCACAAGACGAUCGCAAGCGUGAGUGGAUGUGUGUCUCUCAUUGGAUAUUUCUCUUUCAGCUUUGCGCGGCCAAUCAUCGAAUAUAUAAAUAUACAUAUAAUAAUAUCUGUUAGUUUUGUCCAAAAUAAUAUGUCCAAUUAAUCUGUGAAAAUGAUCUUAUUUUGGUCUCCCAUAAAAUAUAUAAAAGAUGAAAUUAAAAAAUUACCCCACACAAAGAAAUUAUAAUAACCUUUUUUUUUUUUACUUUACUCAAGACAUUAGGAAAACAUACAAAGUGGAUUAUCCGCUUUGCAUCGAAAUUAUUAACUCAUCCAUAAUUUCUUAUCUCAAACGAAACAAAAAUAAUAUUUUGUUUAAAGAUUCAUUUAAUAAAAUCUCACUAAUAUUUUAAAUUUUGAUUCUAUAUUAAAUUAGAUUACAGUUAAUUAUGUCAAAUCUUAUGAACACGAAUCGAGUCAAAUUCAAUGCAUGUAUCAUUAAAGCUAUUGGAAUUUAUACACCGAAAACAUGAGCGAUAUCAAGAGCAUCUAUGAAGAACAGAUGAUACUGAAAGAGAACUUGCAAGAUACAAGAUUACGCCUUUGUGUUCUUUCUAUCCCCUAAGUAGGAAGCGAGGAAGCCGAUGGCCUUGGAUGAGCAAUCUUUCUAUUCCCUACAUCUUCCCAGCUUCUCCAACGAGGCAUGGCGGGCCGUUGGCCACUUGAGUUCUGUUCGGUCUUGGGGUUUCUCUCGGCAUCCUUGCCAUGCUGAAGCUGCUCCAAUGCCACUACCACUUGAUCCAUGGUUGGCCUGUGCUUUGUUUCCAAGGACAGGCACCUGUCUGCGAGACCGGCUAUUUUCUGGGCUCCUGCCAGUGAGUACUGUGCUCUCAAUCUGGAAUCCAGGAUGCUGAUGAUCUUCCUCUUGCUCGCAAGAUGAGGCUUCGCCCACUCCACCAAUUUGUACUCUCCGGUGGGGCGGUUCUUGUCGAUGGCACGUCGGCCAGUCAAUAUCUCGAGAAGAACAACUCCAAAGCUAUAGACAUCACUCUUGGCAGUCAAAUGUCCUUUGAAAGUUUAUGAUGCAAAUCAACAAGUCAGCACAUGUCUCAAGCAUCACUUUCAUUAAGAAUGUAUGCUCACCAAACCUACCUUCUCCAUGUAAUGUGUAGAAGAUUACAAUCUAUAAAGAUGAGAGAGAAAUAGUUUACCCAAAGUUACACGUAAUGACUACUCGGAGGCACCCUUAAAUAAUAUCUUUAUUUCCUCAUUGACUUGACUAAUAUUUAGCUUAAAUAACUCCAAGGCUCUAAUCUCAUGUAAAUCACCGAUAUAGUAGUAAUCGGAAUGGCAAAUAAAGGAUGAAACAAGAUGCCUAAUCACUAUAUAAGCUACAAGGCCGGCCAUCUCCAACAUUACUUGUUGAUAUUUCACACAAACCAAGUAGUAAGCAAAGUAUUGUUUGAGAUGAUAUGUGCUAUUGCUUUUGUGGCAAUAGUUUUAACCAUCACCUUAUGUGCAGAUUGCAUAAUUGAUCCUAUUUAAAAGUGAAGCAUUCUAAAUAGAUAUACUAAAAGCCAUGAGAGGCCGAGUUGGAUCAAGAUAAACUAAUGGUAAGUAAAAUGAUAAACGAUAUAAUUAGUUUAAUAGACACCUGACCAACUCAUGUGUUCAUGAGGAAAUUGCAAAUUUUAUGUGACUUAAAUGACUAAACAGAUGAGGGGUUUUUGUGAAUUACAAAUCAGAUGACAAGCAAAAGUAUUCCAGGCUGUGAAGAAGACACAUUCAGCAUUUGCAAUAAUAAAGAUGCAACAAAAUUACCUGUUGCAAGAUACUCAGGAGCAGCAUAUCCAUAUGUCCCCAUGACCCUUGUAGAAACAUGGCUUUUAUCACCGGUAGGACCAUCUUUCGCCAAUCCAAAAUCAGAAAGCUUUGCAUUAUAAUUCUGUACAUAAAUCGGAAACAUCAAUUCUGAAAGUUGAAUGAACGUCCAUUUCAAUGUUGAAAACCUAGAUGACUACAUACUGAAUCAAGAAGCACAUUGGAGGUUUUGAAAUCACGAUAAAUGACUUUCGCCUUGCUGCUAUGCAGAAAAGCAAGUCCUUUUGCAGCUCCCAGAGCAACCUUCAUGCGGAGGUUCCAGGAGAGUGGCUGAUAGUAUGAACUCCCUGCAUCACCAUAAGAGCAUACAAACUGAGAUUCAUACAGAUUGAAGUAGAGUAACAGCAAACAGUAGCAAUCUCUUAGAAAACAAUUCCUUCAAGUAAAACGUGAAGAACACAUCCGGUAUAAUAUCAGAUACAGUCCAUGAAGAACAUACUCCUGAAGAGAUGAUUCUCCAAGCUUCCCCGAGACAUGAAUUCAUACACAAGAAGUCUUUGUUCAUCCUCCAAGCAGUACCCAAUAAGCUUUACAAGGUUAGGAUGAGACAGCUGACUCAAGUAAUUAACCUCCGCCUACAAGAUUUAAAGAAGAUGCUAUUGAGACUACAUGUAUCUGGUAAGCUACAGAAUAGAAUUUGAAAUCUAAGUUACCAGCUCGAUAUACAUAUCAUUCAUACAUGAGGUGGAUCUCAACACUAAGAAAUCAGAGAACAAAAGAGAGCAAAGAUUUUGCAGGAAUCAAUACUCACCAACCAUUCUUUGUGACCCUGGAAACCUUCCUGGUUGAGUUUCUUCACAGCGAUAACCAUUCCAGUCCCAGGCUUAGCUGCUGCCAACGUGUGCUCAUUGAUCCAUCCCUUGAAGACUGAACCAAAGCCUCCCUCUCCCAACACACUGUCUGGCCGGAAAUUCCUGGUGGCAGUUCUGAGUUCAUUGAAGGUGAAGCUCUUCAGAUUGGAUGACGUCAAGAUCUCACCCUCACUCCGUGGAGUCGGCGGCACGGAGGACGCAGACACCCUGCUGCUGGAACUGCUUAAAACGUUUCCCUUCCUGCUCCCAUGUGGAGAGUCCUCUCCUAGGCAUUCAAAUACAGUGUCUACUAGUAAAUCAGACUCAAAAGAAAAAGCCACAGACAAUGCUUUCAUCGUAAACUCUUGCAUUAGCCAAUCAAUUGAAUCAAGUAAUACAACUUAGCACAAUUCAUCACCUUACUUAACAUUGUGGAACAAAAAAUACGAGCGGCAUACUUUACCAGAUAAAUUAGCAAAAUUGAGCCUAUGUUUGAAAGGAAUAACUGCUAAUAGGCAAUUUCCACAAAAGAAGACUUACACGGGAAUAAUUCCAAGAGAAACACAAAAUUCACUCUUCCAACACUAUAUAUAUGUGUGUAUAUAUAAGGCAGUAAAACAACUCUUAUUGAGUUGAUCGAUAUGCCGAUCCAUCAAAUCGAUACCUCUUCCUACCCCUCCAAUGACAAACUGAAAUGUUGUUUGCCCUAAAUUAUUUCCAAAAUUAGAAAUUUAAUGAUCUCUAAGAACAGAUUCAGAACAACUUACUCCCUUCAGGGAUGACAAGGUGGGAUCUCUGAUGUGGUAAUAGGAAAUUGUGAUAUGUCACUGCCGUGUUAACAUGACAUCAGAUAAAUGCCCCAUAUUACUGGUCCACAUUAAUUAAUGGAUGACAUACCUGCAUCUGCAUGUCUCCUUGGUGCCAGGAUCAUUCAUCGUGCCACUACUCAUCACCUGCGCGGUAGCACAUCUGACACCUCUUCUUAGAAGGUUUAACACUAGGCAUUAAUGGACGACGGAAAGGGGUCAGGUAGGCUCCUCCGUCCGCCUCCGAACGACGACCAAAAGUGAUUCAUCGACAAGAGAACGGUGGAUUCCCUAAUCUACCAUACUAUCAUUAGUAAUCCCUCAGAGAAGACAGUUAAAUAUUGCAACUUUUUUCACUUAAUCCACUAAAAAACCAUUCAAUUUCUAUGGAAAACGUCCCAAGGUUAUAAGCUAUGAUCGAACUCAGAAGCUGCAUAAAACAAGAUGGAACCUUUAGUACCUGAAGCGAAGACGUCGUGGGAGGGGUUCUCCGCCUUGACCUUAGCGCCCCAGCAAUUACCCAUCGGAGAACAACCCAAGCGUGACGACAGCCACGGCCUUCAAUCUACUGGCAACCCCCGAAAGAUAGGGUUCUCCGCGGCCAAAUCUGUGAGGCAAGAACCACCGGAUCCGGCAAGGAAGCAGCCUUUUGGCGCAGUAAUGCAGCAGGAAGCCGAGGUUAACAGCGAUUCGGCUUGCUCACCAAGAGCGGAUCUCCAGUUGCGGAGCUCCAAAUGAAAGCUGGGAUUCAGCGGCGAAGAGGAGCGAGCUUGAAUCGAGUGACGAGUGGAGAGGGCGCAUAAAAAGAAGAGAGAAAGAGGAAGAGAGAGAGUGAUAGGUGCUUCUUUUUGCGCUUUUGGUGUUCUGUGUUGCUUUUUAUUAAGUCCGUCACGAAGGUUGACUUCAGAGUCAUGGAUUGGAGAGUCGUAAUUAAUAGCGACACAAACUAUAUAUAUAUAUAUAUAUAUAUAUAUAUAUACUCUUUCAUUAAUAUUGUUUAUAACAGAUUAUUUGAUCGCAAGAAAUGAUAAACUUUGAACUAAAUAUAGGACUUGGAGUCCUUCGUUCUCAUAUUUCUCAAUCAAUAUGGAACUAAAUAAUUUUAUUAGUGUUUUAUUCCGAAGGGGAGCCAAGGACGAGUUUGCUUGGUCGAAGUGUAAGCAUCGGGUCCUCCUUCGAUCGGUCAAUCAUUAGUAUGAUCCAUAGGCUCACGAGGAAUUAUCCAUUUUGUGCAAUGGGCAUACCCGUAUAAUUUAUCAUUUACGAAGCAUUAAUGCGGUCAUUAGUGUGGCUCAUAGGCUUACGAGAAAUUAUCCGCUUUAGACAAUGAAUGUAUUCGUACGAUUUUAUCCUUUUUCAUAUAAGCUCCGUAAAGCACUUAGUUCCAUAAGGGAGAUUUCAUGAACUUAUAAGUUCUUAGUUCCAUACUCCUCGAUUAAUAUUUGAACUAAAUGAUAUAUAUAUAAUCACUGUCCACGACUUUUCCACGUGGAUUGAUCUUUCGUCUUUGAUGUCAAUUCCAGCCUCUGUGCCAGUCUAGAAAGCAAUAAUACUUCACGUAAAUAAUGGCAGGAGCAGCUUUACAAGUACGGUUACAAUGGAUCUGCAAUCUUAUUUGAAAGCUCUGGAGGUGGGUUUACUCUCUGCGACAUGACACCGAGAUAAUAUAAAGCUUGAUAGGAAUUGAUAUAUAGAGGAGAGAGGCUUAAGGUUUGGCAACUCUGUCGUAUCACUGUCUCCAUUAAUUGGAGUUUGCUCGAGGGAAGAAUGAGGGAGGUCAAAAAGAGGGCUCUGCAACUUGCGGCAGCGGCACGAGAUUGCACGUAAGUGUCGACCAAAAGCUGUGGUCUCAAACGAACAUGAACACCUCACGAGAAUGACAUGAAGGAUUAGGCCAUGGUUGAAGUGUCUGCAAAUCAUAAUCUCAAAGAUAUCGAGAUGACAAAAUCCGAUUACGUUCAGAUGCAAUGUCCUCAAUAAAUCCGAUGAAAGUGCCCUAUAUAUACGUAAGAGUCGUGAAGGAAAGCUGCGUUUGGAUAGAAGUGGGGGCAGACAAUAAUAAAGAGGGGGGGUCGACUUCGUAAGAGGUUGAGCUGUGUCCCCAUGUGAGGGAGCUGAAGCUUUUCUUCCUCCCUACUGCAGAGAGGCGGAGGAGGGAGGAGGCAGCCCCCACUUUGACUUGCUCGAUUUCUAGAUGACGGACAAAGAGCAUGCACCAUUAUUACAAGGAUGCAAGAGAUGAAGGAUAACAGGAGGAAGCAGGCUGGGGAAGAUGAUGUGCUUCUCAAGGGGUACGAAGUGGGGUGAUGACGUCUCUAACAUGUCUUUGGAUUCGUCAUACUGUGAAAGUAAUGAAACUAAACUUUCCAAGCCUAAACUACACAUUUCCCUACAAUUCCCGCAUGCAAGAAACUAAACUUUCAAGUCUAAUCCCUAAAGGCAACGAAUGGAAGAAAGAAAAAAAGAAAAAAAGAGGGGAGAGUAUAUUAUAAUACAUUAAUUGUGAAUUAAAAUGCAAUUAACUAAACGAGGAAACUAUUUGCCAUUACUGCAUGUAAACAGAUAUAAUAAGACAGUAAUUCUCAUGGCAAGUUAUUUUAAUGAUCCACUAGCACACGUGAAAGAUAGAUGUCAUGAAAGCAUCUUAUUGCUGUCGGCAUUGCCAGCUAAAAUGUGGUAAAGAGCAGGUCUCCCAAGUGGUGGAGAAGCUGAACUUACAAUUAGUUGGAAAUGAUAAUUAUCACAAAGCAAAUAAACAAGUUGUGCCGAUUUUUGAGAGUUGCAGAAUCUGAAAUAUGGCUUAUUCAUCCUUGAGGUGCUUCCCUCACUCGGUUCUUAGCAAAGAAACUACAAGAAAAACCCACGGAUUCUCAACACAAAAUUCAGAGGUCAAUACAUGAGCCUCGACUUGAGAGUUAGGAGUGUGUCCUCAGGCAGACGACUUGACUGUAGCAGCAUUGAUGAUGUCCACGAAUUCCGGCUGUAAUAAACAAAUAUAGAAAGGAAAGAAGAUGAGAUCUAUAGCCAACGUAACCAACAAAUUUAGAGUCAACUUGCUAAUUGAAGAAAAUUCCAAAGCACAUUCUCUUCAGUACUCAUGUCAUGUAGCCACCGUCUGCGACAUGCCAGAGAUAAAACAUGCAUCUAGCAAAGGCAAUGGGACAGCAAGCAUCUUCAUAACGUGUGAGGAUCAUGAAGUUGCCAACUAGUAGAUGACUGUUAUUCAUAUUGUGGUUGUCAACCCAACCCCCAAAAAACAAGUCAAUCUUAGUGCAAGUUGAAAUCCAAGCAAUUUUUCCCUCUGAAAAGGGUACCAGACAUGUUUUUGUGGUCAUUCUUCAUGCCAGAAAAGUAAAUUAUCACUCUUGUGGGUUUCAGAUAGUGACUAAUGACAGCCAAGAAUAUGUAAUAUAUUUAAGGACAUGCAAAUCUAGACAGACAUGUAGGAAAUAUAGACACAUACCUUCAAAGAAGCACCUCCUACAAGAAAUCCAUCGACAUCAGGCUGUGCUGCAAGCUCUUUGCAGUUAGCCCCACUUACAGAACCUGCAGGAAUUUCAUUUCUCAUGUUAGCAAAAAUUUCACAAGUAAUAUAUAAGAUGUUACUCCAUACGAGUCUCAUCAAAAAAAGGAAACACAAAUAAAAGAAACACGUAAAGAAUUACUCCCAGUUCACCAUGCUCAGUGCAACUCAAAGUGAUACAAGUACAGUCGUCUGGAACUUAUGGAGACAAGAGGAGAAAGGAAAAUCAAGUUGACAAUGAACAUUUACCUCCAUAUAUGAUCCUGGUUGACGCUGCAACUUCAGCACUCACGUUUGUUUGAAGCCACUUCCUUAAUUCCAAGUGGACCUGAGAAUCAUUGGAACAUGUGGCAGAAAUGGAUCAUAAUGAACUCUGAAAGAAAUGUCUUGGGAAAAAUCAGUAUCACAAGACAUCCUUGUGAAGCUAACAUAGCUCAGCAUGGAAAACAUGUCCACUGGUGUGAGCCUUAUGUUACCAUAGUGCUGUUUUGGCACACCCCUGAACUUGGUGCCCACGGUCUGUACUAACAGGUAUGGGUGGGCAUGACCAACAUAUGAAGUCCUUGGUGUUACCGAGAAAAAGUUUUUUCUAAGCUGCACCAUGCAUGAGCAUUAAAGAUGCCUGAUGUUACAUAUCUAGGAAAAAGAAUAAUUUAACCCUAUGAAAUUCAAUUAUACGUGGUGAUCAUAUGUUGCUAAAUAUAAAAAUGAACAGCAUAUUUUAUUUUACAGGAACUUAGUGACCAAUUAUAUUCGAGAAAUGGUGGCCGGAAACUUUAAGCACGUUUAGAUUGUUAGGUUAGAGACUUAUAGGAAGAUCAAAAACUUGCAAAUAAAUAGGCUAGGUUCAAAACAGAAUCACUUAGCAACAAGCCUGUAUUGUGUUACUAUGGCAUCAAAAAUGCAGAAAAUCUUUAACAAUUUUUUUUUGAUAUAACAUAUAUAGCAUGCCAACCUAUUUUGGCCACUUUGGACAAGACAAAUUUGACUAAUGAUUGUGAAUUUUACAUAAAAUUUGACAAAUAAAUGUGAGUUUUAGAUCUGCUGUUGAAGUAGCAUAUGAGACAUCACUGUGAUCUCCAAGGUAAAGACCUCAUUGUCCCAGUAGUCUUAGUGAAUAUAGAUGCAGAUGAUGGCAUAUUUUGGUAAAUAUUUUCCAAAACCAUACACAAGCAUUAUGAAGUAAUAUCCACAGAACUCGAGAGUUGACAUGGAAACAUGUGCAAAGAACUAAUACCUCCUGGGCCUGAGCUGGGGUAGCAACCUUUCCAGUUCCAAUUGCCCAAACUGGCUCAUAAGCCACAACCACAUUGGUCCAGUCAGAAAUCCGUUCUGUAUGAGAAAAAAUCAAUUAGACAGGGUACCUAAUAGUAAAAAAUAUUUGGUACAGAUGUUUCAUCCUACAAAAUCAGUUAGACCUACUACAUAGAAUGACACCCAAGAAUGACAGAUGACCCUAAAACUUUUUACAGUUAUUAAAGUUUAUAUCAUGAUUCCACAAGUACAAGAAGGUGCAUAGCUCAAUUGAACCAACGGGCAACAGCUUUAAUUUAUGAUAUGCAAAGCCAUAAAUACUUCUCUAGCUAUAUACAACACUAGGAUGUUUGUUGUGUACUUGAAAUCUAUUAUUAUCACAUUUUCUUCUACAUAGGAAGGGUUAAAUUGAACUACCAUUAUUAUUUAAGUCAAUGAACAUUCUAAUUCAUCCAUUGGAGAAGAACAAAAUUGUAACUCAUGAGACAUCCAAGUUAUGUAGCUAAAGCAUUUGCUUGUUGUGUCAAAUUCAAGAUUGUGAACAUCAUACAAAAUCAAAGAUGACAAAGAAGAAUUGAAUUCUUGGAAUUUAUUCCACUAAAAUAUAUUGACUGUGCUCCUAUUUGAUCGAAUGCAAUUUAGUCAGAUAAGGGCACGCUUGGGUAAAACAAUAAGAUUGCAUUAAAUUUGCCCAUAAUUCACAUUGAUACACCCAGGAUCCCAUAGUGCCAAGAGACUGCAUUAAAUUUGCCCAUAAUUCACUCAGAUAAAACUUUCCUUUUUCACACAAAAUAAAGAAAAGUAUACUUUAAAGUAACCAAAGACCUAAAACAACCACAAUAUUAACAAAUACUAGCUCAUGCUCUUCCUGGUUACAUGCAUCAGAUCUGGACACUGAUGACCACUUAAACAUGUGGCAUACCUAAAUGUUAAAUGUAACCAUCUCUUAUAUAGAGUCACAAUGUGAUUGAUACCUAAGCCAUGACCUAGCAAUAAACUUGAAACCAUACUGGAAUAUGACUGAGACACAGUUACUUAAAACUUCCCAUGCCAGCAGAAUUGAUGUAAAAACACAUGAUACAACACUUUCUUUUUACACUGGAUGUGUACACAAAACUCAGCCCACAAGUUAAAGUGACAAUAACACGAGGCAUGCAGAGUACCUGCGAUAGCUUUUGUUUGUGCAGCAACUACAUCCAUCGUGGUUCCUGACUCACGCUGCUCAAGUGUCUCACCAACACAAGCAAUCACCUUCAGGCCUUUAGACAGUGCAUAUGCAACUUUAUCUCCAACAAACUGCCCAAGAAAAUAAAAAAUGUGAAUUAGAAGGUAUUGAAUAUCUAACAAAUUUGAUGACAACUUCAGCAAAUUUCCUUGAUAGGCAUAUUAACGGGGAAGACAGCUAAAAUAUAUGAGAUAAAAUUCUAGUUGCUUGCUGGUAAAAGUGUAUGGUCAUUUUGCAUCACAAGUUGUUAACCAAAAUAUACUAGCAUAUUCUACCAAAUUACAUUGUAUACCAGAAGCUAAUACAACUUCCUUUUGUUCCUAUAAGUAUGCAUUAUAUCGUUGGCAUCCAUAGUUUAAAUAUUAUGGAGAACAAGAUCUUAUAAGUAUAAUAAUUUGAUUAGAAACUAGCAUAAAGCUUAAUCCAGCACUUAACUGAUUUCAUCGAGUGAUAAAAUGUGCAACUAAAUUUUCAUGUCGAUGCUAACUGCUGUCUUUUUUGGAACAUGCAUAACAAGAUCGGGAAAGCAAGAUAUAUGGCACUUUAGCAAGCUACUAGCUAAUUGUUAAUGCAGCACAUCUAGGAUUUGCAUAUAGCCUUUUAGCACAUAGGCAACUUACCUCAUUUGAUUCACUCAACAAAAGCCUUCGUUCAGAGUGUCCCAGAAUGACCCAUGGAAUGUCAAGGUUGACAAGCAUCUCAGCACUGCACAAGGAAAAACAAAUAUAUUCAAAUUAGGAGUGCCCAAUUGUUUUACAACAUUGUUAUAACUUAAAGAUGUGCAAGUAGGCAAUGAAAUGGCCAUUCAAAUAAAAACACCAUCAAAGUUGAAAAACCUAAAAAUAUACUACAGAAUGAACCAAAAAUAGAAACCUUAAAAAUCAAAAGUUCAUAACAUAGUAAGAAUUUGAUGAAAAAAGGCCCAUAAAAUGUGAUCCAAUGAUAAAAAUAUAAAUAAGAGAAAAAGUUGUUCUUAUUUGAACAGAGAGCAUGAACAAGUUCAAAUUCAUCUAGGGACAAAAAUCAUACCUAAUCUCACCAGUGUAAGCACCUCCUUUCUUAACCCAACAAUUUUGUGCUGCGACAUGGAAUUCAGGGCGCAACGAGCUUUUUACGAGCGGAAGAAAAACAAAUGAAGGGCUAACCACCACAUCUGCAGAGAUAAUAAUACAUAUAAUUUAAUGCGUUUACAGUGGUUGCACAUCGACAACUAGCCUAUCUAACAGUUAUAAAUAGAUACAACAUGUAAAUGACAGCAUACACAUUCUAAUUCCACAAGACAGUUUUGCAGAACAUGUGAGGAACUGGAAAAGCAACUCAGCGGAUAACACCAAUGAGUAUCAAGAACUAAAGGUUUCAAAGGCGAAGAUAUAAUUCUAUCUCUCAGUCAAAUAAAAUUGACGAUCGCUAAAUCAUCAUGAAUUUCUUGAGAAUCUAGUCUCGUUAAAACUGAAAUUUGUGAAUCAGAUGCCAGAGGGGAUGGAAUAGAAAUUAAUGUUCAGAAACCAUCUGAAUAACGCACUGACUAAGUUUCACACCAAACCAAACAAAAUUGUUGGUUACCAACCACUCAUCUAACAUCUCACUAAUCAAGCAGCAAUGACCUGGAAUCUUACCUAAGGAUCUUAGCAGUUAAUACCGACGAUAUAAAAGACAAAAAUAUAUGAGGAAACAUUGAAAGAAAAAAGAAAGCUCAAGUAGAUCUGACAAGCAAAUGCAUAGGAUUUCAUUUGUGACAAAUAGAACAAACAGUAUGUGAAUAUUUCCAAAACAUAUCCCUAAAUAUUCGAUCAAGAUCAUAGGGUUCACAACCAUACCGACAACAUCAGCCGAUGCAACUUUGCCAUCGUUCAGGAUGCUGACAAUUUUCUUGACCUCCUCGCUGGUCCCAUUCUGCGAAUACGGCCCAAAUAAAAACACAUUUAGCAUCAGAGUUCCAUGAUCUUAUAUUUUUUCCCAUAUUUAGUAGGCAAUCAAAAUCAAAGAGGACUAGAGAACAUGGAGUGGAGACAUAAAAAAGGAAACAGAGGUGUCCGAAUCCAGUAUAUCAAGAAGAUCGACUCUAAUUAGUUAAAAUUAGUGGAAACGAAUAAGAUUAAUAUGAAUCAGAGAAGAACGAGAGGAAACAGCAACAAAUCAUGCCGAUCGAUGGGAUCGGAUAACUUAAAGCUGACGAUCGAUGAAAGACGAGUAAAUCGGAGAGAUUUCCAGCAACAAGGACUGGCCAAGACCGCAAAUUUCACCAGCCAGGCUAUUAAGAUCUGCAAAAGUGGCAGUAGGGCAAAGUACCAAGCGCGAUCUAGAAAAAGGAAGAAAAGGGUAAAUGCGAGGAUUACGCAUUUCCAGUUGCCGCCGACGAAGAACUUCCUGGCCAUGUCUGAGGAGGUAGGCGACGAUGCUCAAAUCCAAAAGCCCUUUCCCUUGGCUUGGUCGAAUUAGAGGAUGCGGAGGUCUGGGCACUCAUAUAUACGGCGACUGAGACGAGAGGCGAUGGAAACAAGGGGAUGCAUUGGCACGAAUCUCGAACGUGCCAUUGGCUCCGAUGGGUGUCCGCGAUCGAUCCCGCCCGUCGAAUCAUAAGGAUCAACGAUCUGCUGUUUCCCCUUGACACAGCGAAUAGAUUUAUCAUGGAAUAGAUAUCUAGACACGUAGAUAAAGCUUCCGGGACAGGACCCACAUACGUGCCGUCGUGCACAGCUGCCGGCGAGCUGACGGUGCGAGUCCUGCGUGGUGAUUGGGUUCUCGGGACAUCGAUUACACGCCGUCGAGGGCAAUAUAAUAAGAUCCAGGCACUUGUAAUACAGGAGGAGCCCAUCGGAUCGUACAUCUGUGGGUUGGAUGAACACAGCUCUCCACGAUCAUUCUAUUAUUAUUAUUAUUAUAGCAAUAUUAUAAUUAUUAUUUAAGAUCAAGAUACAGUUAACAUUUUUAGCAACUAAGCUAGUAAACAUCUUUAAUUUCUUUUAAAAAAUAUAUUAGAUGAUACUUUGACCUUUAAUAUUUGGUAAGAAAGUAUAAUAUAUCAUCACUAUAUUAAUAUUUAAUAUAUUUAUUGUAAUAAUAUUAAUUAUUAUAAAUUUAUGUAUCGGAUAAAAUAUUAUUAUAAGAUAUAUCGAGCAUGAUAUAUCUAUAUAGCUACAAGAUACAUCGAUCCAAAAUAUAAGCAUUAAUGUAUAGGAUGAACCAUAAUUGGGCAAAGGAUUUCUUAUGACCGAUGCAACCACUUAGAGCUCGACGAAGACAAUCAAAAUGUUUUUUUACUCUUUAAGAAAAUUAGAUUGAGAAGAAAACAAACAGGAAAAAGAAUUUUUUGUAUUGGGAAAAGACAGCUACUUCACAUAACAUAAAGCACCGAAUACAACACUGCUACCGUAUCCGGAAAUCAUACAUACUUAAAGGUAAGUAUGAUCGACAUCAUCUCUAAGUCUUACGGAAGGAUACUCCCUAUUUAAGAGCAACAACGCUUCAGCAACUCACGUCUGAUAUCUGCAGUUCCCGUAACCUGCCACAGUCAAAGAAUGAUCAGCGCUGCAGGAAUCAGGAAGAACAGAGAGGGAAAGCGUGAGAUCAGAUAAAACGCAUGCGUCCACUUACUUGGGUCGGUCGAGGUGAGGACGCCGCUGCCGCCAAAGUAGCAGUUGAAGUCAUGGCGGCCGGCGGCCUGGUAGUAGGCGUUCAUGGCAUAAGAGGCGUGGGCCAAGAGCGUGUUGGGGUCGAAGCACGCGCCGCCGUUCUGUAUGGCCCCGCAAUCCGCCCCGCCGCUGCCGCACGCGUAGUCGAUGUUGUUCUGCAGCUCCGCUAGGCUCGCGUCCGCCGUUGCCACGCACCACCUCCAGGAAUCACCCGAGGGCGCCGGCGCCUGCAGAAUACCACCGUCACUCGAGUAUCGAACGGAAGCAAAACUCAUUUCUAGCAUGGCUGCCCCAACCAUGUUAUCUAGCAUGACCGUCCGACCCUUUGGUAUAGUAACUUUUUUAGAAUGACGUAUUUACCCUCAAUAUAAUACGUAUACUCCCCCAAAAAACAGUGUUUAGUGUCGAUUGGUUUGAAUCAAAUAUUUAAGAUAUCAUUAAUAACAUUAUCACCGUAAAAUUGAACGGAUGUUUAUGAUAAAUUUAAAUUUAGAAGGAUAAAUACGAAUACGUGUAUAAGUAUAAUAUACGCAAUUUUGAAGUAAAAGUAAAGAGGAGGACAGGACUCACAUUGUCGCUGUCGCGCAUAAGGCCGACGUCGUAGGACGGGGAGAGGUCGGCGUUGAAGAGCCCAAAGUGCCGCUCCGCAGUCGGCCCGGGCUUCAGGUUCUCGUUGAACAGCGCGAACACGUACGUCUCGAACCGCCGGCCCGGCAUCAUCGGCGUUCCCUUCCCAGAGUUCACCAGACGUAUCAGGUUGGCGUUGUAGGAGACCGCGUCCUCCACGCUCACACCGAGCUGGCCCGGGUCCCCGGCCGACGGCCACCCCGUCUCCCCCACGGCGAUCUCUACGUCUCCGUACCCCAGUCGCUGCAUCGCCGCUUGCACCGCGUCCAGCUGCGCCACGAACAUGUUGGUGUAGUUCACCCCCGUGGCCGGGUCGAACACCCCCGGGUUGGGGCGGAAGAGGGCGUAGUCGAGAGUGCGCGCUGUGUAGCCGAAGUAGGGGUAGGGGUUCACCACGAACGGGGUGCGCGUCCGGCGGUGGAAGUCAAGCAUCGGGGCGAAGAUGACGCGGUCGUAGCCGGGGCGGAAGCGGCCGGUGGAGGGCGGCUCGGAUGCAGAGAGGAUACCGAGGGAGUGGGGGGUGGAGACCCUGAUCUGGGGGAAGCCGGAUGCGGCAAGUGCCGCGGAGAGGGAGCGCAUAGCGGGGACGAGAUGGGCGAUGAGGUUGCGGUCGGAGGUGGCGAGAACCUCGUUUCCGACGGCGAUGAGGGAGAUGUUGGUCGCAGGGUAGAAGGGGGCGACGUUUAUGGCAACCCAGGCGGAGGCAGCAGGGGAUGGGGCAGAGGAGCGACGGGAGGCGAGGGAGGGGAUGUCCCCGUUGGGGACCGUGAUCAUGAGGGAGAUUCCGGUGCCAGCGAAGGCACGAAUGAUGUCCGGGUUGGCGUCGAAGAGCUUCACACGGUCGACGAAGGUGCGGUCCUUGAGGAAGGCGGCGACUUGAGCCGGCGGCGGGAGAUUGUCCGCGAAGGCACCGUAGUUGACGCCGACGGAGAGGGCCGCGGACAAGGAGAGAAGGUGGAGUAGGAGUAAGGGGAAAACGACGAGCUUCGCUGCUUUCGCUAGAGAAGCCAUUGCCGAGGGAUUUGGGGCUUUUGGUGGUGAAGCGAGACGGCGAAGGGGGGUGGAUUUAACGAGGGAAAAAGGUGUGCGAUGUUCCACUGACGCCUGUGGGCGCUGUCACGUGGCGACGACUUCGAAACGGGGAAUACGAACGUUAUGUUUCAAGGAGGCUGCCGCGAUCCACAUUCAAAUACGUGGACGGCUGAUUGGGGCGGUCCAAACAAUAGCUUUAUGGACUAUGAUUUAGUGUACAUAAAAGCGGGCGUUAUAAAGAUUACCAAUUCAUUUCCAACGCAAAUAAUCCACGAUGAUUGCAGAUAUUAAAUAUAUAAUCACGCAUUUGUAUAUACAUAUUUGGUAAUAAUUAGGGGUUUCUUUAAUUGGAUUAAUUAAGGUAUUAAUAGCUUAAGAAACAGGAGCAAGAGAAAGAGCUUGAUGGGCCAUAAGGAGCAUUUGGACCUAACUUUGAUGGGCUGUAGAACGGCUCGAUAGAAGCCUGUCAAAAUGUGAAGCUGACGAGAACCGUUAAACCCUAACCGGCCGACUACUCCCUCUCUCUUCCUUCUCAGCGCUCCGUGCUUGCUGGUGACGAAGGUAUGACCGCUACAGCUCGCUAAGGAUGCUGGCCCGAUUCGUUUCCCAUCGCGGCCCCUUCCGCUUCGUAGCCCUAACCACCGUAGCUUCCUCCCAUGUCCGCCGCGCCCCGUCCUCUCCCCCUCCUCUCCGGCCUCCGCCCACCUUUCUUGGUACUCUUACUCGUCUCGCUCUCCCUCCCUCCGAUCCCAAUUCCACUUUCUUUCCGUCUCUGAGGUCAUUCUCGAGCAAUCGAGGUGACGAUGACGAUGGCGACUGGAAGUUUACGCCGCAGUCCGACGAGGUCGGCUCCGUAUUCGGGGAGGAGGAGGGCGACCUUGCCGGGAUCGCUGAUGCCGCAGAGGGCGGGUCGGAGGUGGCCGCCGCCGGGGCCGACGUUAAGAGCGGGGAUCUGUGGGAAAAGGGUAUUGUGACGGAGGGUGAAGGGGAUAUUUUUUACGGCAUCGAUCGGGGGUUUGUGGCCAAGGAGGGCGGGGUAAGAGAAGGGAAUGAGGAAUGGGAGACGGCGGAGGGGUACAAGCCGUGGACGCUUGGUGACGAUGAUGAGAAAGGGGACUUGUUCGGUGUCGUCGAAGAAGGGGAGGCAGGGAUUGAGGGGAUCGAUGGCGGUGGUGUCGAGGAUUUGGAUAAGGCAAGGGCUGAUGAGCAGAAGCAGCUGGAGAAGAAAGAGGAAGAACUUUUAGCUGCUUUGAAAGGUAAGAAUCACAGAACACAUCUCAAGAAAGGAUCUUCUUGUUUAAUGUUACCCGAUUGAUGUUAAUCUCAACAGUCAAUGCUUAUGUAUGUACCCAUUUUCUGCAAGCUGAUUUGUAAUUAUCAUUGAUCUGGAAUUUUCUAUGUUGCAAUAUUUAUUGAAAAGGUUUUAGCUUGUCUCUUCAAUAAUUUGAAGCUUAUCCUAGUUGUUUGUUGUCUUGUACUGUCACCUGUGCUGAUAUAUGUUUGGGAAAGAAACUGCUUCUUUCUUUAGGUUUCUCACAAAUGACUGGUCAUGUUUAUUGUUGGUUUGAUGAUGAACUUUCUUGCUGUAUCGUCUCCCAUUCCAAUUGUUUUGGUUCUCAAAAUGUCUUGUUCCUGUAGCAAGUGGCAUGAAUGACAUAUGGCAAGUAGCAGUCUCUAUUCAACAACAACUAAUGUCAAGUUGUCUUGCUCCUACAACAUAUAAAUAUGAAAAAAGCAUGAAUAAUCUGAGACACAGGCUUUGCCAUCUUUCUAAUGUGUACACGAGAGAGAGAGAGAGAGGACUCAAAAUAUAUUUUGUGUUAAACAUCUUUGUUCUAUGGUUACAUGUAAAUCCAUUGAAGUAAGAUUAUUGAUUUAAACCUAAUACCUGUGUGAAGGAAUUGUAUGUUUAUCUCAUCACAUAAUGUUGCUUCUUAGUUUCUAUUGUUGUUGUCUUUUCACUAUUUCUUCUUGUGGAGUGAUAUAUUUCUAUUUCAUCAUGGAAUGCUGUUUCUUACCUUCUUUUGGUGUUAUUGGUGUUCUUUCUUCUUGUGAAGUAAAUAUGAUAAGAUUAUGAGAAUUAAAAUGAGAAAUAAUAUAUGUUUAUUUCAUCAUAGAACAUUGCUUCUUAGUAUCUUUUGUUGUUUUCUUUGCUCUUUCUUCUUGUGAAAUAAUGUGGCAAUGUUGUGAGAAUUAAAAUGACAUCCGAGGAAAACAUAAUCUAUCUUGUUUUUAGCUCGUUUUAGCCCUUUUUUCUUUAGAGUGGUGGAUGUUCUUGAUACUAGUUUUCUCUGAGAGAUUUUACUCUUCUGUUUUGGUGAUCGUGCUUCUUUGUCAUCUUUGUUCUUUUGGUUAUCUAGCAGAACUUUUUUGGUAGUCCAAUUUCAUAUCUUGUUAUUUUACUUCUUUCUUUUAAUUUAAAUAUCCUGAAGAUAGUACAGGAUAACUGUUAGAUAGUUGAAGAUGUUUGGGUUCUGUUGUAUUGUAUGUUGGUACUUUCAGAGUAGGACCAAUGAAUAGAUAAGAAGCUCCAUUCAUGUUAAAGAGACUCUGAUUGCUUGCAUCUUGUGUUUCUCCUUAGUACACAGCAAUGCAAACUGCUUAGGGCUCAAUGUUUAAAAUGGCAGGUCCAAAUCGGGCAUUUGGAGAUCUCAUUGCAGCAUCAGGAAUCACGGAUGAUAUGAUUGACAGUUUGAUUCUCUUGAAGGAUGUAAGCGGUGUCAAGGGUUUGCCUCCCCUGACAGAAAUUGAAGACAAAGCUAUUGCAAGAUUGAAUGAGACAUCAACAAGAGUUGAAAUUGAGCGGAAGAAACAGGAGGAAGUAGCAAAAGCUCGGGUUAGAGUGGUGGAUGAGAAGGGGAGAGCUUAUGGAACAGGAAGACGAAAAUGUAGCAUAGCUCGUGUAUGGAUUCAACCUGGUGACGGCAAGUUCAUCGUCAAUGAAAAGCAGUUCGAUGCUUACUUCUCAAUUCUUGAUCAUCGAGUACAACUUCUUCAGCCUUUCAUUGUGACAAAAACUCUUGGUCUCUGGGAUGUAAAUUGCACCGUCCAAGGGGGUGGAGUUUCUGGUAAGCUUUAUGACUACAAAAUUAUCUUUGUUUUGAGAAUUAUUGUAGAUGAACGAUCCAAUUUUAAGUAGAAAAUAACAGUGAUUUAAAAAGGUGCUUGAGCGCUCGCCUAGGUCUCGGGCAAGACGAGACGAGGCUCAAGCCCCUCGUUUAAGGGCCAGGUUGCGCGCUUCAAAGAGGCGUCGCCUGGGCGCUCGCUCCAGACUAGGCACCGGGUGCUUCGGGCAAUCGCCCGGUUUAAUUAAGCAAACCGAACCAGACUUUUAAGUCUGGUUUGGUUAAAUAAUAUAGUUUCUUACCUCAAGCCACCCUUCACUCUCGCACGACCCCGAGGAACCCUAGUGUUGCUUCUGCCUUUGUCAUCGACACUUUUUGUCGUUGCCUCCGCCACUAAUGCAAAGGACCAAACCUUCCUUUGUCGUCGACUGGCGAGUCCGACGCCCCCCGUAGCUUCCUUCCGCUGUUGCUCUGUGUGCAGUUCCUUCCACUGUCGAGGGAGUGGAUCGCAAAUUCCUUCGCCACUGACGGACACCCUCUGAAGCUUUUGUCGUUGUUGCUGUUGCUGUCCGCAGCUUUCGUUGCCGAUGUCCGUAACUUCCUCCAUUGGCGCUGUUGCUAUUCGCAACUUUCGCCGCUAUCACUGCUGUUGUCCGCAACUUCUACCGUUGUCGCUGUUGCAACAAUUUUAAACUGAUCCUCUGUUAUUGUUAACAUUUUUUUCUCCCCUCUAACUAUUGUUAAUAGUAAAUAAUAUACUGUUAACAGUAUAUUUUUAAUUUAAUAUCAUAUUUUAUUUAAAUAUUUUUUAUUAUUUUAUAUAUUUUAAUAUUUUAAUAUUUUAGAGCAUUUCGUUUUGCUCGGUGAGCGCCAAGUGCCUUAGCCAUUUUGGGACCUUGGUGCCUAGCGUUUUUUAAAUCACUGACAAGUACAUGUGUCGUAAGACAUACACAAGCAUUGUUAUAAAUUCUGUUUUUCUUAGUUGACGAACUGAAAGACAAAAAUUACCUUUGUAGAUUUAGAGAGGCUAUCUUUUCUUGUUUUUAGCUAUGGGACUGAUGCAACGAACCUCUUCGCUAUUGCAGGUCAAGUUGGUGCCAUUCGCUUGGGAAUCAGCAGAGCCUUGCAAAACUGGGAACCAGGGCUCCGGCCUUUCCUAAAAGCUGGUAAAUACUCUUACCAAAUUAGUUAUUAAGAUAUACUGUGAUAAAAUUUAACAAUCCAUUUUAAAUCCUAGCAUUGCAGUGUAACCUCAUCCUCAUUGUGCUUCUCAUGAACCCCCUCUUGGAUUUAGUAACCGACCUACCUUCAUCGCCCGUGUUUAGAUUCGAGUAGUGUGGCAUAUAGUGUGGUACUUAUUAUCCAACUGUUGACAUGGCUUGUGUGCUUCAUCUAGCUGGCUAUUUGACGCGAGACCCACGUGUAGUCGAACGGAAGAAGCCUGGAAAGGCCAAAGCCAGGAAGAGCUUUCAAUGGGUCAAGCGAUAACAGGUGUGGUUGUCAUUCCCUUUCUCACUGGAGAUACACUACCCUGUCACCAUUUAGGGGCUUACGAUGUUGAUCUGGAGAUGUAUCAUUUAUAAUGUGCAGGUUCUUGCGCAUCUUCUGCUCUCAGCUAUUUGGUAUUGCUGGCCCCUCAGUGAUGUUAUACCUCUGCUUGUUUUGUAGCCUGUAGCUCAAGAGAUCUUACUUACUACUUGCUCAUCCACUUGUGAUCAUAUAAUUAAUUUAUUUGAGCAACUGUAGGCAUCCAUCUAUCAAUCUUUUGCUUGUCAGCUUUUAUGUGGACCUUCUGUGUUUCAGAAUAAAGCGAACCAUCAAUUUUUCAAAGAGACACCAUUACUGUUCCAGAAUUGAAUUGAGGAAGGUAGUGAUGAUGUCUUGUUGUUUUUAAAGGUAACGGUGUAAAUCCUUUUAUCAAUAAUGUUUCUUUAGAAAAUUAUAAGACCUGAAAGUGAAUCAGAUUAUCAAUUUAUAUUUUACAUUGGAAAUUGUGCAAAAUGAUAUGUUGAACCUCAUUUCCCUUCUCUCCAUCUCUUCCGGUUUCUCCCAUUUGACAAACUUAUUGGGAAUAUUGAUCUGAAUUUAUUUUUAUAUCUGAGGAGUUAAUGACCUGACAAAGAUACACUUUUUGAUUUAUUUGUCGAGGAUUAAAGAUUCAAUGAUCUUUUUUGAUUUAUUUGGCAAGAAUUUAAUAAAUAAACAUUCAAAUUUUAUCAACAUUUUUUUAUACCAAAAAUAUUGAUCUUCUUGUUUAUCUGCAUAAUCAAUCCACUUCUCUAAAAUCACAAGCUCAGAACAGGAAAGCGAUAUGCAUCACAGGAAGAAAACUUGCUUCUUUUUCAAGUACUAAACGACACACAACACUCGAAACUAACAGCAGACGCACACAAACCACAGACAACAAGAUAGAAGCAAGAGAGAGAGAGAGAGAGAGAGGGAGAGGUCUGUUCUCUCUCUCAGCCAUGGUGACGAGAACAACAUCCUCCGAGGGAAGAGGGUUGAGACAGUAAGCCAUGGCCUUUUAUUUCCAUCACCAAGUCCAAACACAAGUCACUAACCCCACAACACCACCACCGAUGCUGCUCCUCUCCCUCUUCAAACUCUGAUCAUCUCCCUCAUUUGCAGUUGCAGGGAUCGCAGGUGCAGUUGGAUCCGCACUUGCAGCCAUUCUCGGACCCUUCAGCUGCCAUGUCCAACUCCUCAAAGUUCCUGCAACCAACCCCAAACAAUGUUGUCCAUCACUCGUACAGUAAUCAUGUCAAAGAUCAACGUUUUCAGAGUUAGGAACAGACCCUUUCUGAGGAACAACCCCCAUAACCAUGGUUUGGGCGGUGGUAUCCCUCUCGGUCAACAAGUCAGGGUACAUCUUGCAUCUGUCAUCCACGAUUCACAAACACAUAUAUUAGGAAUUUGAUUCCGAGGAAACAAAAUAGAAGGCAAACAGAUCUUCCUACCAAAAUCAGAAGAAGAAGAAGAAGAAGAAGAAGAAAAUUCUCAAAUGUUAGAAAUAUUUUAUGAGAUGGUGUUAACUGCUGGUGUUUCGUUACCCUCCGCAGCCGCUGCCGCACUGGCAGCUCGACCCACAUCCGCAGUUGCCUCCGCAGCAAGACAUCCUUCUUCUUCUUCUUCUACCUUCUUCUCCCCAAACAAAGCAAACCCCUCUCGACAGCCUGUGAUGGGAGCGGCACCACCGCAUCUGAUUUAUAGUGGGAAAACGAGACAUCCACCGUUCACGUGUCGAAAUCAAGUGGCCCUCGAUGUCCCCGCCGCGCGCGUCGGUCCCACCAAACCUGCAUGCAAUCGUCGUCUCCCACGUAACUCUAUUCCCGUCUCACCCCACGCGAACCCCUCUCUCUUUCUCCGGUUUCUGCAGUUGGAGAUGGCAGAUGGCGUGGUCGACAUGAAUUGAUGAGAGAGACUUCCUCUUCACGACACAGUACUGUCUGCACUCCGGAAAAGAAGAAAUGGGCACCGCAAUUAUCCAUGGACGAUCGAGCGUGAUGGAAGCGAUCCGGCACAGUGAAGCCUCCGACCUGAGCUAUCCACACAACUGUAUCAUACAUCAUCCGAUAGGUUCAGCAUCCUCCGCAACACAGCCUGAGAGAGGACUUGUCUCGAUCUCAUACGUCGAGAGACAGCGGAUGAUGGUGUGUGACACGAUCUGAGACUCAAGCCACCAACACAUCACUUCAUCCGAAGACCAUAUCGAUACUUGUAAUGAGUGGUAUCGUAUUAAUAUGAUACAUCUAUUCAACGAUCAUAUCCUUUAUCAUUAGUACAUAUAGUAAUCCAAAUUAGGUUCAUAUUUCUUAUUAAUUCCAACAUGCUAUUCCACUUUUUCCUGUUCUUUUCUCGAGAUUCAUAGAAAAUGCCACUCAGCUUUUGGUCCACAUUAUUGUGGGGAAGAUGAUCUGCCCCUGCAUAGCACCUCGCGUCCUUUUUUCUUUUUCGAUGCUGUUCUUGUCGCCUACAGUCACACCCACCAAAAGCUUAACUCGUCAAUUUUAUCUUGUUGGAUUGAAGAGUUCAGAAGACGAUAACGUUGACUUAGAUCCAUUCGAUAGAUGCCUAUCAAUCACCUAAUAAUUAGAAUAUUAUAGUCAUUCGUUUAGCAUCAUCGUCGGCGACGGACGGAUGAGUCAGCUCGAUUGAUUCUUAAUUAAAAAUGUAGAUCCCUUCUAUGGAGAGACGGUGUUAUCGGUAGAACGAAGGAAUAUGUAGGGAUAGGCGGUUCACUAGGAGCGAUCCAAUCUUCAAGUAAUGAAACUUGAUUUGAGAAAUGAGUGAUCCCUUCUAAUGGGUAGCCUCUUGGCCAUGCCUCCGAGCUACAUCGAUGACCAUACAUAACAAGCUUAUGUCAUGACUAUCCGGCUCAACCCAUUUGAUGCUUAAGUAAAAAAAAAACAAAGGAAGGAGAAAGAUAAUAGUAUCGGUUGUGUAAUCAAUAGAGUAAAAAGUAUAUUUUUGUUUGCUUGUCUUGGCUUAGCUUUGGGCUGACUUUUAUACUUUAGGGUUAGGUGGAGCGGAUAAGCCUCCAUCGAGACCCCCUUAUCCUGCGUGAUGGAGAUAUUUAAUGUGGGCGACUUAUCGACGUGUGCUCCAAGGGGCAACGUAUGAAGACUAUCGAGAUGACACCUUCGGUCUGAUUUUUCUGUUUUUUUAGAGUCAAGCAGAGCACAGUCCCCUUGUUAUUCGUCCGAAAGGAAAGGCUAGUGAAGUUAUGUAAUGUCGUCAACCAUUAAUGUAGAGCCAGGUAUAUUUUUUCGAUUGCAAGAUCGAUGAGGAGUGGAUCUUGUAAACUCAUUUCGGAAAGUCAUGACAAGUGACGUGAUAUCCUAUCGACGGUUUUAGAUAAUAAGUGAUUCCAAGUUUUUAUUUAGGUGUUGCUUACGCAUCGAAGAAAAUUAAAAAGUUAAAAUUAAUAUUUAAAUUUACUAGUCCGUUAGCCAUAUAGAACUUUUAAUUAUCUUUGUGGUAUUAAAUAAAAAACAAUUAGUAAAAACAAAAUAAAAAAGCCUGCCAUUUCUGAACUUUGAGGGAAGGCUUGCAGAGGCUGCGAGAGGUCUGUCCGUAGUGAUGUGAAUGGAGUGUUGAAGGAUCGAAUUAUCUAAAUGGGAAAAAGAGUUUAUGUUGGUCCGUCUGAUGGAGGGAUUAUAUAAUGUCUUUGGAGAAACUACUAUUAAUGAGGACCAAUUAUUUUGAGCAAUGGAUCAAUAAUUUCAUUGGAAAGUAGCGAGGCAUUGAAUUCGAUUCCUCAUCAUGUGCAGGAAGGCCCACUGUGAACAGUGAGCCGUCCUUCAUGUUGCCCUGUUCGACAAUGAAGAGUCGCUGAAGUCUAAAAAGCUUCGUGAUAUGAUUAGAUUCCUCCGUAAGCUGCUCGUCGCUUGCCUGCUACGGCUGACAACAAGUUUUGUUCCUCUCUGGUGGCAAGUGGUGUGUGUGUGCCAUCAAUAAUGGCGUUGGCCGCCCCCACCCUUCCUCUUCCUUUUGCUCGUGGAAGGUAGUGCCUCCUUUGUCACCGGUACGCUUUCGCCAAGAAAACCCCACCCCUUCGCUUCUGCCCUCUUCUAAUGGUUCCUCGCUUCAACGUGAGCGGACCAUUCCUAAGAGAAACAGACGACACCGAAGCAAUAAUAAUCUUUGAUUUUUGUGCUUUUCUUUAACCCAUCAAAUUUGAUGGUCAGCUCGUGUGUUAAGCUUAUAUGAGCUACGUUGGAUGAGUUUUCUUUAAUAUUUAAAUUACAAAAAUAUUUUAAAAUAAUAAAAUAUAUGUUCAUAGAUCAUUUAGUCUCACAUUGAUUGAGUAGUACGAGAAUCAUACCUUUUGGAGCUCAUAUGUUCCAAAAGAAUAAAAUCGUACGAGUAAACUCAUCGUCCAAAACGGAUAAUUUUCCGAUCAAAUUAUCCCUUAUCAAUAUAUUAUCUUAAGUUCUUAUUUUAUUGUGAACUAUAAAGUUGUUGAGAUUUUAAAAAUGAUGCCUAAGUUUGAUUAGUCUAAUAAUAUAUAAUAUCUUAAAACUUAAGUUUGUUAGAUUGUGGAUCAAACCUAUGUAUCCAUCUCGUUUGACUCAUUCAGAAGAUGAUAAUGUGAGAGACUAUCUUAGUCUCUUUCAAUCUUUGUCUCUCACGACUAUUCCAACCUACCUGUCUACCUACCAUCAAAAUAAUCAAAGAUUUUGGACUGUGCAUAACAGUUACUUGAUUCCAUGAAGGUGGCAUUUUAGUACUCAUACAACAGAGCAGCCAUCUGCACAUAAAAGCUACUGCCACCAGCCAUGGAACCCAGUGAGAUCACUGAAAGAGUAGGCCUUCUGUUUAGCAACCCACAACUCAACUUUGAUUGCCGAUGGCUUCCCACAGUUGCACUGCGCAUGCUACAGAAGGAUGUGGAUGGAUUGGUUGUGCCCAAUGUACUUGGUGUUUCACCAGACCACACAACUUCCCCCUGACCUGAUCAAAGUGUUUUACGGAGACACGCAGACACACAAAAGACCUGAUGAGGUUCUUAGCAGGCAAUGGGAUAAAUGCCAUAUGGAGGACUCGAAAGAAAUGCACGUAUAUGGCCUCCUGCAAGCACUGGCUCUGUUAAGCGGCGAAUUGAUCUGUUAACAACCUUUCUCGAUUAAAGGAGAGAUGGCGGAAAACAUACCAUCAUAAGCUAGUCACUCACAAACCUCAGGACACUGAUACAAAUGGUGGUUGGCUGGUCCAAGAAAAAGAGAAAGCGGGGAACAGAAUUCAGUGGGUCGGGUAAUAGUAUCCACCUGCAGUACCAUCAAAAGCUGAUGGCAUCCCGUAUGGCAUUGCGGGGUUGGGCACGAAGUUGCUGUUGGGCUUGUUAGCUAAGCCGGCCUGGCCCUGCAUCCCAUCCCCGGCAUACUGCUGCCACAUGACCUGCUCCUGUAGCAGCAGCUGCCGUUUCUUCUCCGCGUCUGCUAUCUGCACGAAGGGAGGCGGAGGGAUGCUAAGCGACGCCGCGAAUGGGUCCUGCCCAAUGGUCUUCACGGUGCCAUCAGGUGCAGGAAGGGCGAGCACGGGAGGGGCGCCGCCUCGUCCAGGCCCAGGCAAGGCCAUACUGCUCGCGCUCCCUCCACUUGCCUGGGCGUUUACGUGUUGCCUCACCGCCCCUUGAUCGUACAUGCCGUUCAGUAGCAAUGGAUGGAAGCCUCCGCCUAAUGUUGCCUUCUGCUUCGAGAGAUUGCUGGCUGUCUCCACGAGCAUCAUCUCCCAGUCUGCUUUCCCUCUUUCGGCUGCAGGGUUUUGCCACGCGGAGGUCACUCCUGUCUCGCCAUCGGAUGAUGGGAAUGCUUCCCAGGAACCAUCGGAGCCAUUAGCUGCCACCGGGGCCUGGAAAAGAGCCAGUUCGAGAUUGUCCACAGCGGCCGCGCUAUCAUCUCUUAGAUCCACCAGGUCGCCUUGCUGUUCGACAGGUUCCGCUGCGACCUUUGCUGGCUCCGGCGCCUCUUCCUCGUAAUCGGGAGGCGCUGGAAGAGCUUUUAUGCUGUUCAUGGUUUCUUCGGGUUCUUCGUCCCUGGUCUCCGUGGGCGCAGCAGGGAGGGCCACUCUAGGGGGGCUCCUCGUCCUCGUCGCUCUGUUCCUCGUGAACUCUUCCAGUAACUCCAGAAGCUUGUCGGUGAUGCGCUCCACCUCUGGGUACUCCGACGACCUGGCUACUCCUGUGUCCUUGGACCAGGCAUAGAAGACACAAAGUUCAUCGAUCAGCUUGGCGGCACGAGCAUAGGCCUCGAACGACUUGACGCAGUCAUGGUAGUCCAUGUCAAAGAAGCCGUCGAGAAGGAUGGCUAAUACAUCGGCUAUGUCAGCAUAUAGCUGGAAGCUCUCACUGAGGAGAGGAUAGAGCGCAACGAGGAUAAUCCUGCUGUGCUGUGCAUUGCCUCUGGGGCGGCAGCCGAGGAAGCUAUCGAGCACGUUCAGCAACUCGUGCAUCCUCCCCAGAACACUCUCUGGCUUCAUGCCCUUCAGCGGUGUCCGCCUUCCUCUGUACUCGCCAUUGCCAUUACCCGGAGAAGAUGAGUAUGAGGAGCUCACAUAAUUUCCGUAGGCAUAUGGAUCUGGCAGCGGAGAUCUCUGGUUACCACCGCCUCGCUUCGUUUCGUAACCCAUCCAUCCCAGGCGUCGAUCCAGAUAAAGAGCGUAGGUGCGGACGAACGUAGAAUGGUCCCAGGAAUUGGAGUGUGCCUCGUCGCAAAAAUGGGACAUGCAGAGGAGGCGGGCACCCCUGCGGUUGGCAUAGAGAAUCUCAUGUUGGAACGCAGGAUCCCCAUCAGUGAGAAGACGAUGGACGAGCAUGAGCGCCUUGAGGGCCACGACCCAGUCGCGCGUUUUGGCGAGCCUCCUCGAUACAGAAGCGACGCAGGCAAUGACGUAACUGCCGGAGUAGGAUGUCAUGUUGAGGAUCUCCCUCAGGUACUUCUCGUCGGCGGGUUCGUCGUCGUGACUCGUCGCCUUGACGAUGGCCACAUCGAGUUCAGGGGCCACGUUACUGGACAUCAUGGCCAGGCCAAUGCUGGUCUGGUCUUUCACUGCCCCCAGAGCCUUCCUGAUGCUGGGUGCCAUUGUAUGAUCUGCAAAUGCCAAUCUCGUUCAGUAUCAGAAACAGAAGGCCUAAUCUGACUCACAAAUCUGUCGAACAGAAGUGACAACAACUGGUAAGCAAUACAAGUUGAUGUUGCUAUCUAUGAUUCAUAACUAUUCAGACCAGUUGUAAUGUUGUCAUUGGAACAAGGAACUUCCCAUGUUAGAGAUAAAGUGACAUGCAGCAAUUCAUCAUCAUCAUUAUCCUCUACAAAAGAUAAACUACGGGUUGAAUUGAUACAAUUCAAUUCAUCAUCAUAAGAGAUGUAGAGGAAGACUUAAAAAUGACUUUGACUUUACAUAAGAAUUAUAAAUAAAAUUUUAUUCAUUGUAACCCAAAAAAAAUUGUAUAUAGUCAAUGCUGUAUGGUUGAAACAUCAUAGAUUAUUAUUGUAUAUCCUUAGGACUACGGUUUGAAUUGUGGUUUGACAUGGUUCAAAUGCAGUACCAUGUUUUUGAAGUAAUCAGCCCAUGUUUGACUAAAAAUGUGGUGCUUAUAACACCAUUAGCAUGACGAAUGUCAUAUGAACUACGGACAAUUUGUCGAACAGUUAGAAUUCGUCAAAAAGUCUAGUCAUCGCAUUAAUUUGGCAUUUUGAAGGAACGAAAAGAACAUAAAUUUCGUGGAUACGGCGCAUCUACUUUUAGAGAUACAACUGUGGACAUUCAAACUGUGAUGUGCUGAUAACAUAGCUUUGGAGUCCAUGCAAUUCGUCGAACACCUACAAUGCAUCUACAAGUUUAUCCUAAAUCAUGGCAUGCAUCAUCUCUUAUCACAAGUCAUUUGAUUCGAUUAAGAUAGAUAGUAAAAUAAAUCAGCAAGACUUGCGAUCAACAGCGAAUUGGACCAAGAUCGGAUUCGAAACCGAUGUUCUGCUCGAGUAUCUUCCUAGAAUCUGAUCUCAAUCUUUAUCUAGAAGAUGGCCGGUGGAAUCCAAACAAGGAGAUCUGGAUUUUAAAGCUUGCCAACUCGAUCUUUGAAAGAUGACGAUAAACCAAUCGAAUCAAAAGAAGAGAUGCAAGUCACCAAAUCGAAACAACUGACCGGAUCCUCCUCCGCCGGAGCUACUCGGACGCACCGAUCUGCCUCCGGUCCAGCACUCCUUAUAGGUCUCUCAGUCCUCGCCCUCGUUGUCUGCUGCUGACGAAGAAGAAGGAAAAGACUAAAGGAGAGGGCAAGAGAGAGAGGUUUCUCCUCUUUUCUCGCUUCCCUUCUUGUUGGAUUGGAAUCAAAGGGGAUGGGGGCGGAUCGGAACGAGAGAUUUCGGCCGAUAAAUAUCGGAAGGGAGAGAAAGAACGUUACGAGGAAGAGAGGGCCUUUUUUUAAUAUUAUUAUCGUUAUUACUUAACGCCCUUUAUAUAUAUAUUUAUUCUUACAAAUUUGGAAAUGACAUAAUUGCUUCUAUAUAUUUGAUAUGAUGUGAUCCCCAUAUAUCUUUUCCUUAAUAUCAUCAACCCACAUGGUAAUAAAAAUAUUAGGACGGUUCUCUUUUUUUUUUCGGAUGAUAUUUCUUUUUAUAAUUUCUAAACAGUAAUCUUAAUUUCUAAUAUUUCAAAAAUUAUAAAACUAUUUUUUUUUCUUGUCUAAAUCUUAAAAAAAAAAUCAUCAACUAUUUAUAAUUUUUAUAUUAGUUUUUAUCUAAAAUAUUGUGAUAGGUAAAAUAUCAUCGAUCAAUACAUGUGGCCUCUUCGUGUGAUGUCCCCAUGGAACUGUCCGCAUUGACAAUAGUCAAAGAUAAAUAUAACUACAUGUUAUGUGAUUUUAUUAUCGUUCAUGUGAAGCUAAGGCCAAUAGUAAUUGUCAUAGACGAUUGAGGAUUAUCUCAUCGUUGAAUAUUUCAUAAAAUAUUUAGUCCCUUUAUGAUUAUUUUAGCGUAAUAGUAAAAGAUUAUUUUUUUACAGCUUACAUUCACAUGCACUUACAUUGAGUUAUUAAUUUUGAUGUAAGUGGGAUCGUAUUGAAAAGCCUCUAGGUCUUCAUGCAAGUUACACUUUAUGAUGAAUUUAAUAUUCUUGGAUAAUUUUAUGCAUAUAGAUUUGGAUCAUAUUAGAUUAAUUGGAACAUCAAUGAUAUCUUCUCGUAAUAAAAUAAAGUGUAACUUUAAUAAAAAUUUAUUAGAUUUGAAUGAGAAAAUGCAUGAUGAUUUUCUAGGGAUAUUUUUAGAAUUUUUAAAAUAGGAGUGACUAUUUUAAAAUUAUGAAAAAUAGGCAUCAUUAGAAAAAAAAACCAAAAAAAAAAGAAA